UUGGCUAUAGCAAUUGGAAAAUAUAUACUUGUUUCACAGAAAACUUGAUCUUUAUUUUUAUUAAUCAGCAAACAAGAGGUGAUUGACCUUCACAAGUCCACUUUUGCUCAUUGACUUUUUAUGUUACAAGAUUGGGAAGGGAAUAUGAGCAUAUUCUUCUUGUCAUCUCAGGUAGCUUUUCUAUGAAAUCUUUCUUAAUUUUUGUUGACAAGAUUCAUUCCUUGCAAAAGUUUUUGGCAAAUCUCCAAUGCCUUCCAAAGUUGCUUUAGUUUCCCACAGGUUGCACACUUUGGAUAUGCAAAUACCUUUACAAAAAAUGACUUGUUUUUCAAGGAAUGGAAUAUAGACAUGUUCAGCCCAUCUUAACUUGCACCACAACCACAUACGAUGCUCACUCAAAAACUUUAAUUCUAUGUUUAAACCCACAAGAUUGGAAAAAAAAUAGGCCAGAAGAUGAAAUGAGUGAGAAAUGGAUUCAAGCCACUCCAAACCUACCUCUGAAACUAGUUACCAUUGCAAAUGAAUCAUAUCAGUGAUCAUCUUUCCAAAUUUAGAUAUGGUUGACUUAAAACAAAAGAAAUAAAGUAUGCCAGAUCAAUUAUCUGAAAUUUCUUUUGAAAAAAACAAAGACAGUAAAGCCAUAAAAAUUGGGUUUACCUGGUUGAGCAAGGAAAAUGCGCUUCGAACAGGAUAGUGGUCAUCCAUAAAACCCAGUGCACAAAGACCAUUUCUGUUGUAAGAAUGCACUUUAUAUUCUAUAUAAAAGCCACCAAAGAAUAUUCAGCAUUUACAAAAGAAAACAUCUUCACAAUAACAUAUCAAAACAUACAAAAGACUUUCCACAGGAAACAAAACUCCAGUGCCUACAAUUUAUAAUCAAUUCAAUUCUAAGAUAGCCAAUUAUGUUUUCUCAUAAAAAAUAAAAUAAAAUGAAGAAAUAUAACAUUUCCAAACCUAGUCGAAUCCAAAUCUCACCAGAUGAGAAAAUUAAAAGCCCUAUCAAUAGCUAUAAGAUAACAGAAUAUUUGAAACAAUCGAUUGCUUUUUAAAUGAUCCAAAUCAUUCAACCUAUAUUGGACGAUCCGUGAGAGAAAACUUCACGCCCAUAUUUUAAAAGAAAAAAAAAAGAAAAAGAAAAAGAAAAAGCCCAAAAUUCACCCAAUAUAAUGUUUUCGAUUACACGAAAUCUCAAAAAUAUACAAAAAAAAAAAAAAAAAAAUUGACCUAUUCGUCCCCUGGUUCAUCGGAUUUAAGCUCCGAUCGCUGACCAACAAAUCGAGGGAACAAAAAAAAGCAGAGGAAAACGAAACCAAACUUCAUAUCUUUUCCAGUUAAAACGAGGAAAAAAAUUAAAAUUUUGAAAUUGUCGUUUUCAUUUGAUUUCCUAUAAGUUUGAUUUCUCGGUAACCAAACAGACAGAAUUAUGCAAAAUAAAGGAGCUGGAACCCUGAUUUAAGGGGAGAGAAGGAACCUUCGUGUUGGACGGAUUGGCGUUGAGAGGGAGGAGUCCUUUUGGCAACUGUCCGACCCACGAAAACGAUAAAUUCCUUGACGCUGGAUCUCUGAAAGUACCCGAAAUGGCCGACAUCGGAUGCGUUCGCCAGGAUUAUCGCGUCGGAUCCAUCCGGAUUGCAUUUCAAAACCAGAAGUGCCGUGAUCUUCAUCUUUAUCUCUCUUUCUCUCUCUAAAAAAACCCUCCCCCUCUCUCUCUCUCACUAUUGUUUCUGUAGGCUUUCGUACGUGUUGAUCCCAGUAGAAGAAAAUGCGGAGUUGUUAUCCGCUGUGAUGGGGAGUAUUUGAAGGUCUUGCAGCUGCUCCCCUGCAGCAAUCACGCUCUGCCGACAUCCAAGUUUUAUUGCCAAACAUAUUCGGCACGCAUCCACUUUGGAAUAUGUGUAAUUUGUUUUCAUUUCUACUUUUAAUUAAAAUUAAAACAUAGACAUAUUUUCAAAAAUUAAUUUUAGAAAAUAAAUAUUUUCUUACAAAUAAAAAAAAAUAGAUAUUAUAAACAUUUUCACCGGCUUAUCAUUUUCAAUCUAAAUAAAUAUCAUAGAGUACUUUUGGGACUGAUUAAAAAAAAGACAAAAGUUUUUAAUAUUUUUAAUAUUUAAAUAAUAAAAAAUUUCAAGUGUUAUAAAUAUUAAAAGCUUUUCUUAAAAUUAUUGUCAAAUAGGUAAUUAGAUAGUGAUUCUAAAAAAUAUUUUUAAUAUUUCUAACACUUAAAAUGUUUUAUCUUUUAUAUUUUAAAAAGUCUAAAAACACUUUUUAGAAUCAUCUUUAAACAAGUAGUAAUUUUAUGAAGUAUUUUUAAUACUUAAAAUUUUUUAUUUUUUAAAUAUUAAAAAUGUUAAAAUUCUUAUUAGAAUUACUGUCAAACACACUCUUAGGAUGUGUAUGACGUUUUUAAUAAAUAAAAAAAAUUCUUUGAAAGUGUUUUUAGAAAAAUUGUUUCUCUAGAAAACACUACAAAUAAUUUUUCAAAUUUCAAAAUGUUUUAUAAAAUUUAUCAAACACCUUUUUUUUUUUUCCAAAACAAUGUGUAGACUAAAAGCACUUCUUAGAAUAACAAUUAAAUGAGCUUUUUAUCCUAUUACAAGUUUUUAUUUAUAUCAUAACUUAACUUUAAAACAUUUUUUCAAGUAAGGUUAAUUUUACAUUAUACCCAAAUGUCAAAAGGUUUUAUAGUUAAAUUAAAAUACAAAAGGACAAUGGUGAAUUUUUUACUUUUUUUUUUUACAAUUUAUCCAUAUAUUUUAAAAUUUUGUUAUAUAAGUAUUAAACAUUUUUUUUUUGGUUUGUAGAAAAUAAUAAACAAAAAUAUAUCAAGUGAUGCUUUAAUGUGUUAAGUAUUUAUAAAAGAUAAAAUAUGGUGAAAAAUAAUUUCUAUUAAAAAAAAUAUAUAAGAACAUAGUUUUAUACCAUUUUACUGGACGAUAAAUUUAAAAUAAGGUAAAAAUUCUAUGCAACAAGCACAAAGACCAAAUCAUUUGGAAAAUAUUUAUUUUUGAAAACAUAAAAAUCAUUUUAAUAGAACAGUGUGAAAAUUAUAUGCAAGAAUUAGCUUUUAUUACUCUUGAGUAAUACCAAAGUUAAGGAAACAUUAAUAAUAGACUAUGUCACUCCUUAAAUGAAUAAUUAAUAAAUUUAACGUUUCAAGUUACAACCAUAUAAUAAAAGACAUAAUAUGAUUUUUAAAGAAUAUAAGUGGAAUUAAAGAGAGUUUUUUUUUUUUUUAAAGGUUUUUGGUUAGAUGAGAAAUUGGGUUGGAGGGAGAUGCUCAUAAUAGGAGUUAGGGGGUUUCAAAAAACCGUUGGUGUAUUAGCGGUUUGAGUUGUCUACUUCCCUCAAAAACACACAAAAAUGGCUGAAUGUCUGGAAAAUAGGAACCAACCCAGCUAUUAAUAUGACAAAUGUUUGGGAGUUAUUCACCAUUAACCUUCUCCCUUAACUCGCUUUUCCCCUACUCUCUCUCUCUUCCAUUACAUUCCCUUGAGGGUUUCUUGCUUAUGUGAAACUUGAAAGGGAAUGAAAUUUUCUCCUUUCUAGUCCAUAUUUUUUUCCUGUAAGUUCAACUGGGUGGCCUUUCUUCUUCCUUUUUUUUUAAUUUUCUUUUCAAUCCAUUAAUAUUGAAGCAAGUUCUUCCUAUGUUUUACUUUGUUUUUCUUGUUCUUGCUUUCAUUUUUUCCCUUUCAAGUCUGGGUUCCAUGUUGUGGUUUUCUGAUUUUUACCUUAAUCAAUGGUUGUGUUUGAAAUUUUGACAGGAUUAGAAGAAAAUGAUCAGGUGUUUAGUUCUUUUCUCCUUGUUGAUCCUCUCAACUUCAGCCCAGAAAACUUCCUCACAAACAUGGCAGACUUUAAAUGGUAUGAAACAGCCACGGAUCCCCACUAUUAUUGAAAGAAGUUGAAGGUUACAAUAUAAGUUUUACUGUUACAUAUCAGUGCUUCUCUUCAUGUUUGGAAUGUCUACUUGCCUGCAGGUGAUGAGCCUGUUGUUAUAGCCCGUGGCGGAUUCUCGGGACUUUUCCCUGAAUCUAGCCAAUUUGCACAUCAAAUUGCGCUUUCCACCAGCCUGUCCAAUGUAAUUUUGUACUGCAACCUGCAACUGACAAAGGAUAGCGUUGGCAUAUGCCAGACAGAUAUAAGACUUGAUAAUUCAACAAAUAUAGCAGCUGUCUUUCCAAAAUCCCAAAAAACCUACACAAUUAAUGGAGAAAAUGUUCAGGGUUGGUUCGCUUUGGAUUAUACAUCUGAUCAGCUCUUUAACAAUGUAACAUGUAAGUCUUGGGAUGAUGCCUCUUUUUCUUUACAUGAAGCCUUUGGUUGGCAAUGGUAGCAAUGACUGAGGGGCCUGAAAGUGACUGUUUUCUCUUCCUUGUUUUGUUCUUUUCCCUCAGUGACUCAAAGCAUAUACUCCCGGCCAAGUUUGUUUGAUGGCACGCUGCCAUUAUCUACUGUUGAUGAUGCAAUUGGGAUCAAACCCCCUGGCUUUUGGUUGAAUGUUCAGGUAUCUGUGCCUAUUUUCUAGUUCUUUCUCAGAAAUGAGAGAGAUGUGUAGAGAAAUAUAUAUUGUUUUCUAGGCACAGGCAUUGGUAUUUUUCUGAUUCAUUUCUUUGGUGUUACUCUGCUCUUUCUUGUAGUAUGAUGCAUUCUAUGCUGCAAACAAACUCAGUGUAUCAUCAUACAUUCAAAAGACUACAAGAUUUAUGGGCAUAAGUUACAUUUCAUCUCCUGAGAUAGGUUUCUUGAAGAACAUGAAUAAAAUCAUAAACAAGGCCAAGACCAAACUCAUCUUCCGGUUCCUAGAUGCAGACGCAGUCGAACCCACAACCAAACAACCAUAUAGUUCAAUAUUAAAGGAUCUUUCCUCAAUCAAGUCAAUUGCAUCGGGAAUUCUUGUCCCUAAAGAAUAUAUAUGGCCUCUUAGUAAGGACCAGUAUCUGCUAACUCCCUCUAGUGUUGUAGCCGAUGCUCAUAAACAAGGCCUAGAAGUAUAUGCUUCUGGAUUCGCAAAUGAUAUGCCUGGAAGUUACAACUAUAGUUAUGACCCAACAGCUGAGUACCUGCAGUUUGUCGAUAAUUCAGAUUUUUCUGUUGAUGGAGUGCUCACAGAUUUCCCUCCCACAGCAUCAGAAGCCAUUGGUGAGACCAUCUCACUCUAUUCACCGAAAAAAUUAUAAUAGUGUAUGAUCCACAUGUUAUGGGUUUAUUCUUACCAUGGAUUCUCUUUCUUGUGCAGCAUGCUUAGCACACAACAAGAAUGCUACCAGGCCUAGCAAAGGUAAGAUAUGAAAUCACAAUCUUCUUUAUCAUAAUAAGUAGGAAGAAUAAAAAAUCGAUCUAAGGGGGCAAAUGCUAUUGUUUCUUGCCAUAAUCCUAUAAGUUUUCAGGGAAAAUUUUGGUCAUAUCUCACAAUGGAGCAAGUGGGGUUUACCCUGGCAGUACUGAUCUUGCAUACCAGCAAGCAGUAGAUGAUGGGGCUGAUAUAAUAGAUUGCUCAGUCCAAAUGUCAAAAGAUGGAGUUGCCUUCUGCUUAAAUUCAGCUGACCUCUUGGGGAGUUCUAAUGCCAUGACUUCUUUCAUGUCUCGAUCUACCAUGGUCUCUGAAAUUCAACCGAAGAGUGGAAUUUUUUCGUUUGAUCUCACAUGGAGCGAGAUUCAAACACUGACGCGUAAACUUCUUAAAACAUUCUUCUACAUGUUCACACAUGGGUUCUGAAGUCUGAUAGAGCUAUAUCUCUCUCAUUUCAGCUCAACUAACAAGUCCACUCCCAAAUAGUGGCUUGGCAAGAAACCCAGCAAACAAGAACCAGGGGAAAUUCAUAACUCUCUCUGAUUUCCUGGACUUUGCUAAGGCCAAGGCAGUUUCUGGAAUUUUGAUCGACAUAGAGGUAGUAAGCAAUUUAAAUUUGCUAAUUCCCACUGUCUCUACAUAUCUACUUUCAUCCUGAAUUCGAACACCCACUCUUUCUCCUCAGAAUGCUGCCUACCUAGCAUCGAAGAAGGGUCUUAGCAUAAUAGAUGCUGUGACAGCUGCCUUGAGCAAUGCCACCUUUGACAAACAAGCAACCCAACAAGUCAUGAUACAAUCCGACGACACUUCAGUGCUGUCCAAGUUCAAGAAUGUCCCAGGUUACAAGCGAGUUCUAUCCAUCAAGGAAAUUAUAGGUGAUGUACCCAAGCAGACAGUGGAGGAGAUAAAAAAAUUUGCUGAUGCAGUCAACCUCCCAAGAUCGUCCAUUGUCACAACUAAUGGUGGCUUCACUACAACUUUUACCACUGUUGUUGAUGAACUCCAUGCUGCAAAUAUCUCAGCAUAUGUCUCAGUUCUCAGGAAUGAAUACGUCGCCAUCGCAUUCGAUUUCUUCUCAGACCCGGUUGUGGAGCUUGCUACUUACGUUGGUCGCCUUGGAAUUGAUGGGGUUGUGACUGACUAUCCAAAAACUGCAGACGCAUAUCUCAGUAAGCCCAUCACAUACCCAACUGUCUGACAUUAGCUUAAUCCGGUUCCUAACAGUUGAAAAAACUUGCAGGAAGCCCCUGCUCGGAUUUGAAUGCGAAAGUGGCAUAUUCCAUAUUGCCAGCAGAGGCGGGUGCAUUACUUGGGUUGGCAGAGCCGGAAGUGUUGCCGCCAGCAGAAGCCCCGGGGCCACCGCUCACAGUCGACGACGUUGUAGACCCACCACUGCCACAAGUAUCAUCAUCAAAUGGCUCAACAGCCGAUCCGGCUGCUGGACCUGUUAAAGCCCCUCCACGUUCAAGUGGUCGGGCAAAUGCUGCCAAUAUGGGUCUCCAUCUAUUGGGAAUUCUGCUGAUUAGCUUACUUUCUGCGGGAUAUUAAAUUUUAUUGACCUUCCCAUGGACUUUUAUCUACAUUCUUUUCCUAUUGAAGUGGAAAAUGUAAAUUUUAUUUUAGAACUAAUUGUCACAUCCUUUACAAAUUCAUUUCAUACUUGUACCUAAAAAACUUAUUUGUGAUUGGUUUUUAGUUUUUACACAUUCUCCUACUUGCUUUCUCAUAUCCAUCAGUCAAUGUUGUUCUGAAUUUUACCUUUUUUAAAAAUUUUGGAAAAGCUUGCUUCAUACCCACAAAAUUCCUGUCCAUGAGUUGGUCAUCCAAGGUCAUUUUAUUUUCCUAUCCGCAUUUUCUCAUCAACCAAAUAGGGCACACCCAAUCUUUGGCACCCAUAAAGAAAGAGGGAGAAUGGGAAGGAUGAGGCUCAGAUUCGGCCGGAAUCAGACAAAGAAAAGGUCCCCGCCGUGGCUGCAACCACAGUUGCCAAUGGAGGCCAUCCGGGUUGCCUCGCCCAAGCACGGGGUUAUUGUUCUUCAGUGCCUGAUUUUACUCGUGCAAACAUCAUCACUGCCUCUUUUUAAAGAGAGAAACAAGAGAGGAGGAAAAGAAGAGUGGGUGUAGAAGGGCCGUUGUUGAUUUUGGUGUCAAAGAAAUCAUGGGCUCCGGUGAUCUGAUUGGAUCAGUUUCAGAGAGGGGCAACGACCCUUCGCAAACUCCCCAGCCCUCUGAAAUCUCUGAGCCUCAUUCUUCGGUAGUUGACUUCAGUCAUGACUCUUCUUGCUACUUCAAUUUAUACCGAUGCCCUAGACUCUUGAAAUUUUCCAUUUUUUUUUUAUUUUAAUUAGAGCUUUAAUUCAGAGGGGUUGGGCUGAGUUUGCGUCUAACUCGGGCCCAACCAAAAUUAAUAAACCCGAACCAGAACCCAAUCAGUAACCUAAAAUGUUCAACCUAAACCCAAACGUAUACCCUGAAUUUUCCCUCAAUAGUAUAAAACUUGUAUACUCGUACAUGCAUCUUCCUCUAUUCAUUUGAGUUGAUACAGGUUCUUAGGCAAUGUGCAAGGAUUGGUGGGAGAGAAAAUGGCAAAAUGCAGAAAAAUAAAAAGAAAAAUCAUGAUAUUUCAAAACGAUGUUGGUUUUGGUGUGUUCGAUAUCGAAGGUCAACAAAAAGAAGCACAUUGUCAAAUGGUCCAUGGAAAGGUGAUGUUGAUUUUGGUUUGUCAAACCGACAUUGAAUUAAUGACCACAGCCCCCCAUGUUUGAUUGAUCAAAGUUGAAGGGAAGCACAUUGCUGAAAUGCUCUAUUGCCUCAAUUUGAUAACAAAGCGACAAUCCAAAGCGACACCAUUUCUGAUAGGGAAGCCACUAUUCCUAGCUUAUAAAUAUGAAAAUGAGCAAUUAUGUUAAGGACACUUACUUUUUGAAACAAGACGAGGGGAAACUUUGUUGAAUUAUUCAACACAAAAAUAAGAAUAAGAACUGUAAUUGAGAAACUUGAGUCCCAAGCACUAGCCUCCCUUAACAUCAAACGUGGGCAUUUAGGUAUAAACACUUGCCAUCUUCUUUAGUUCUUGCAUUUUGGCUUUGUAAUGUGAGUACGGUAAACAUUUGUGUAUAGACCUUUAUAUAUUGUAGUAAGUCAUUGGUGAUGUGUGAUGAAUCAAUUUUAGGAUUUGAAGUGAAGGCCAUGAAAUUAGAAAACCCACUUUUGGAGAAGUGAAUCCAUGGUUUCCAAUGUUUUAUUUACUUCAUUUUCACAUGUCUACUACCAUUUUUGUAUUAUUUGGCUUUUAAUGAGGGUAGGAACAGUUUGAAAUAGAGAAAAAUAACCUCAAGUUUUGAAUUUUGAUAUCAUGUCUUUUCUUUUUUUUUUUUUUUUAAUUUAAGGGUCUUUUGGUUGUUUUUAAAAACUAUUUUAAAAAACAUUUUUUGAGAAUAGUUUUUAAAAAGAUUUUUUAUAUUUUCAACAAAAAAAAAAAAAAUGUAUUUGAAAACUAUAUUAUGUGAAAAAAAUUUUGUUCUCAAAAACAAAAAAACACAUGUUUGAUUGAGUUAAAUAUAAAAGUUUUUUAGAAUAAGUAAAAGCAAAAAAAUAUUUGAAAGUUAUUUUUUAAUUAAUAAAAUAUUUUAUUCCAUAAUAUUAUAAAUAAUUUUCAUAUACACAAUUCAUUUAAAUUAAAAAAAGUGUUUCAUUUUAAAAUUUUUACAUAAAUUAUAAUUUUUUUAAAGAAAGGAUUUUUAUAACUAUACAUAAAUAUAUUAAUCUCAAUAAUUUAAAGAAGAAGAAAGGGCUUAAAAAGGCUAAUGGAUGAGGGUGUGAUAAUCAUGUGAAAGUCACCUUUGUGAAAAAUUUAAAAAUAGCUAAAACAACACAAAAAAAAUAUAUAAAUAUAAAAAACAAUUUAUUCUUUAAACAGUAAAAAAGUAUCAUAUUAUUAUUCUAAAAAAAUGAUUUUUGAGAACACAAAAAAACAAAAACACAACCCUACCCAAAUAAGUUUUUUAUGUUUUUGGUUUUAAGAUCAAAAACAAUUCUUUAAAACAGGAACCAAACAACCCUAACCCUUUUCAUGUUUUUUUAAAGAAUAACUCAUUUUUUCCCUAAAUGUCUUGAUUAUUUUAAAUAUUUACAUACAUAUUAAAAAACAAAAAAUAUUGAAGACAUUAUUUUAUCAAAAUGAGACCAAAAACUAAUGAAAGAUUAGAUUUUAAAAAUUAGAUUUUCAAUCACUCUUAAUUAAAAAAACACAAUUUAAAAAAAAUUAAAAAGAUUAAAUCAUUCUUCACAUAAUUAUUAAAAAAUAAAAAGAUAUCAAUUAUGCUUUGUGGGACCAAGCAUCAUGACUCAUCUUCUUUGGGCCUCCCGCUACUUUAAUCCUACACAGAUGACACAUUUUUAUUAAGAUCCAGAUCCUAUUAUCAUGGACCGGGCAAUGGAGGCUCAGAUCCGGCCGUAAUCAGACGAGCUGCUGGGACGCCAUGGCUGCAACUACGGUUGCCUGUAAAAUGAAACCCAUUUCACAGAUCACCCGGGUUGCCCCGCCAAGAAACGAGCCCUUCAUAAUCUCUGAUUUACUUGGAAAGUAUCAUCAUAGCCCCUCGAUUUAUUUACUUGGAAACAGAUCCAGGACCCUUUCAAGGACCCUAAAUACAUCCAACCAAACAAUAAUAAAUAAAUAAAUAAAUAAAGAUGGACAUCACGGGUCCAGGGAGGGCUCAGAUCCGCCCGUAAUCAGACAAGAUCCAUGUUCGCCAUGGCUGCAACUACAGUUGCAUGUGAAAAAACAGGGCAUAGAAACCCAUUUCACAGACAAUCCGGGUCGCCCAGCCAAGAGAUGGGUCCUUUCAAAUGUCUGAUUUACUUGGAAAGUGUCAUCACAGCCACUUAAUUUUCCUGCACAUUUUCUCAGCAACCAAACAGAUACAAGAUCCUUCUCAGAAAACACAUUUUAAAACACAAACAAAAAAACCAAAACAAAACAAAGAUCAGCCUCAGCGCGGAAGUGAAUAGCGCGUAAAAGGAAGGCUCAGAUUCGCCUUUUAUCAGACAAGAAAAAGAUGACCGUCAUGGUUGCAACCACAGUUGCUUGUGAAACAAGGCACAAAAGGUCCCAUCACACAAACCAUCCGGGUUGCCCCGCCAAGAAACGGACAUUCCCAGUGCCUGACUUACUCUGAAAACGUCAUCACAGCCUUUUAUGUUGCCCAUAUGAACAGAGAGAGAGAGAGAGCUGUUGAUUUUCCAGAGAAUCAAGACAGCCUCUGAUAUAUAUGUAUAUAUAUAUAUAUAUAUAUAUAUAUAUAUAUGUACACACAUGUGCAUGAAAAGAAAGGAAAGAAAAGAAAGAGCCAAGGAAAAGGGCUGUUGACGGGCGUAGUAGAAGGAAUCAUCGGCUCCGACGACCAUGAGAUUCAGAGAGGGGCAACCACCCUUAGAAACUCCCCAUCCCUCCGACACAGUCCCUGGAGCCUCACUCACACACGUGUAUGAAAAGAAAGAGCGAAGGAAAAGGGCUGUUGAUGGGCGUAGUAGAAGGAAUCAUCGGCUCCGACGACCAUGAGAUUCAGAGAGGGGCAACCACCCUUAGAAACUCCCCAUCCCUCCGACACAGUCCCUGGAGCCUCAGUCUUAAACCAAUGGGGUUUAGCCCUAAGAUGUUAUUUGGUAAUCUGAUCAUGAUUUGCAGGCAAAGGUUGUGUUUUUCAGCCUGGCUCAAAAAUUGUGGAUUUAAGGUUCGUGAAAUUUAAAUCCAAUGGCACAAAAGCAAAGAGACCCCUAGAACAGAUCCAGAAAACACAGGGAGCCAAAAAAAAAAAAAAAACGCAAUUUUUUUGGUUUUCCUUGGGGGUUUUGCAUGAAUUUUCUCGGAAAUCAAACAAGGAUGAAUUUUCCCGGAAAUCGAAUGGGGGAUGGAUUUUCUUGGAAAUCAAACGGGGGUUGCAAAAACAAAAAAUAAUAACAUGAUUAGAUUAGUACCUGCGAGGAUUGAGAGUGGCAGAGGAAAAUAGGGCUUUUUAAGGGAUUCUCUCGUCCGGAGGGCAAGUUCAGAAAAGGGCUUCUUGAUGCCCCAGUGAGAGAAGUGGAUGGCCCUUUCCAUUUUUAUAUUUAGUAGAGAGAGAAAACAAGGAAACAAAUCAUGAGAACAAUUAUUCUCUCUAUAUAAAUAAUUAUUAAUUAUCCAUCUUUAUUUUGAUUAAAUCACUACCAAAAUUUGAUUUUUAUAAAUUAAAAUUAAUUUGAUAAGAUAAAUUAUUAAUAAUUUUAAUUAUUUAAAUAAAUUAAUGUUAAUAAAAAAAAGUUAUUACCACAUAUUUUUAAUAAAAUCUUAAAAAUUAAAUAUCAAAUAAAAUAUUUUAUAUAAAUUAAUUUAAUUUUUCAUUUAAAAUGUAAUAAUACAUGUUUUAAUAAAAAUAUUUAAUUUUUUAAAAUAAAUAUUAUCUUCAAUAAGAUGGACUCCUUUCAUCUAAUAAUAUGAUACUAAAGACUAUUAUAAUAUCAUAUAUAUUAUAUUUAUAUAUAAAUUAUUUUUAUUCUAUAAAAUCAAAUAUUUCUUAACUCAAUUCUAACUUUAUACACUUUCAAAAUUCAUAUUUAUUAUUCUUAAAAUUCAAAUACCGAAUCUACUAAUAUUUUCUAUUUAAUCAUAUUUAUGUCAAUUAUAUUUACAAAAUAACUUUAUAAUAUAUAUUAUUGUUAUUUUCCUUUUUUUUUUUUAAGUUUUUCCAAACAUUCUUAUAAAUUUUAAAUAAUUUUUGCUCGACCGAUAUCCGUUUACCGAUCUUUACUCUGUAUCUAUCCAAAAUAAAUGAAAGAUAGUUUUUUACAACAAUUUUUUUAAUGAUUUUUAAAUCAAAAGUUAGUUUUAAAAUCUGAAAUAUUUUUAAUCCACUAUUAUGUUUUUAAAAUUAUAUAAUUAUUUUUUAAAACAAUAAAAACAAAUAAAAUAAUUAAGGUUAUGUUUAGUUUAUUAAAAAAAAUGUUUUAUCAUAUUUGAUUUAAUAGUGAAAAUAAAAAUAUAAUAAUAAUUAAAAUUACUUAAAAACCAAUGUAGCUUUAAAAUUUUUUUUUUGAUCUUUAGCUUAAAAAAGAAAAAUAAAUAAAACGAAUUUGACAAGAUAAUUAAUCUCUCUGAAAGGAAGAGACUCAAAAGUUUUGGAGGAAGAAAAAAAGGGAGUAAGAUUUGAGGGAUAAAAAUAAAGAAGGAACAAGUGGGUGGGUAUUGCAUUAUAUCCAUGAGUUGAUCAAUAACUAGCUCCAUUUCCUUUCCUUUAUUUUCUUGCCAGCCAAACAAAAUCUUAAGUCUGGAACCAUCAUCCCAGAAACCAUUUAUUAAAAGCCAUACGCCAAGGAUUCGUAUAACACCAUGGAAUCAACCAUCAUCACCCUCUCAAACCUACAUGCCAUAGCUACACAGACUCUACUCCCAAGUUCCCAAAUAACCAAGCUUCAUAUCUACUAGCUCCAAAAUGGUUAAACAAGAUGAAAGAAGGAAAGGAAGAGAUUACUUGAUGAGAGCCUGGUAAAGGCAGAUCUGCAAAAAUUACAAGCCUUGUCCACAUAGCUUUAUGUGGUCCCAUGGUAUCUAUUUAUAGCCCCAUGAAAGCAGAAUUACUUCUUCAUUACCAAAUGUCAGCAUAGGCAAUGCCCGACCUCCAUCUUCCCAUGGCUGCCAAGCCCUUUUAUCAAUAUGUGAAGAUGCAAACCAAAAUGGUUAGCCCAUCAUCCAAAGCUAGCUCCUCCUCCUUAUUUACACCUAACGGUUUCCCUGAUUCACAACAAGUUCAAUUUCCUUGCUCGACAUCUUUCAGAUAGAACAGAACAAUUACGAUUACAAUCACAAAAUGUAACACCACCCCACAUCUUCCUCUGUUUAUCUAAGCAUUACAAGACCUCAAAGUUGAUGUUCCAUCAUCAUAAUAGGCAUGGUGUAUUUCCAGUCUCAAACAAGUUAAGGUUCCAUCCUAACACCAUAAUGGUGGGUUGUUUUACUUCAGACAACGAAUCUGAGUCAGUUAACAGGCAAAAAGAAACAUUCAAUAGUUCAAGAAGAUCACUUAGAAUUUUCUGAAAACCUCAAAACCGUUUUCAUUUAUAAUUACAAACCAACCCAAAAAUUGAACAAUACGAGGCACUGGGCUGAACAAUCACCUCAGAACUCUGGUAAAAAAGAUGAAGGUUUCUAUAGAUAAAAUGGCCUUUGCAAAUAAAGCAAUGAGAAAAAUGGGAUAUAAAUUAAGGAAUGAUAGAAUGAAAAUGUUGAAAGGAAUUGCACAUGGCUUCAAAGAAUGAAUAGAUUUGGUACCCUUGCCGAGAAAUUACAUGGCUGCCUUGCCCCUCUGUUGAAGUACUACAUCAUGCACAACUUCCCCUGCUGAGUUAACAAAGUAGGUUUCCUGCCAUGGAAAAAGAACAUUUGUUGGUGCUUCAACAAGAACAAAUUUAGUAAAAAAAGACGAAUACUCACAAUCUCUAAGGAGCUGACUCUAUGAAGAAGGAACCCAUUAACCAUUCCCCUGAGGAAACAAAGAAAAAAAUUUCAUAUGUAUGAACCAAUGUAGAACACCAUUAGGAACUAUGAACAGAAAUACUCACUUACUAAAACCUGAUAUUUGAUUUACAGAAGCAAGAGGAAGUUUUUCAUCAAUUGAACCUGGGUUCCUGAUGUAGGCUAUACUAUCUUUACGAGCAUAGUCACUACAUCCCUCCCCACUCAGGUACACAUCCUGAUGAGCAAAUGCAUGGAUAAAGCGUUACUUUCUUCAUAGGCACCAGAAAGAUUCCAAAUUUGACAUAUCAGAAAGUUGUUCAUUCAAUUCAUUAGGAACUGUCUUAGAUUUUCAUAUAUAUUGAAAAUUUUGGACUUUGAUCAUCUCAAAAGCAAGUUCUCUAAAGAACCCAAAAUCAAAACCUUGGGCAUGGGAUGUCUUCACCCAUUGAUACUCAAUGGGGAGAGCCAUAAAUACUUACCACUCCAAACUUAUAAAAAAUAUGGUGUAGAUGCUCAUAAAGUUGUAUUUCUAUUCGUUCCCUGUUUCCUUCACAAACAGCCAAUGAGCAGAAACCAACAACUAUGCGCCUGGAUCAUAAGGAGGAAAAAAGGAGACAAUUAGUACUUGGGAAUUGGGAUGGAUAGUUUCUUUAUUAAGUUAAAUAUGGAGUUGAAAUGGUAGGGGUGCUUGGCAAUGGCAAUAGGACAGCAAACAAUGAAGGUCCAACAUAGUAACCAGAGAAAACAAAAGGAAAACGAAUGUUUUAACUCAACAAUUUGGGUUAAGGCAAAAUUUAAAUGAAAACCAGAAUUUUAUUGUUGAAAGAAAGAAAAUUUGUGAAAUAAAAUUAAGUUGAGAAGUAGAUUAUCACGCAUCAGAACCACUCUGAACUGACAUGAUUUUCAAAUUUUUCAAAAUUUUCCAGGCAUUACAACCUUGCUUAUUCCUAGGUUCAUGCAAUUAUAAACAGCCAAUAUGGUGCAAUGUAACCUUACCAGUCGCUAUCUGAUGUUUCUAGUGUCUUUGUCAGCCCAUGUAAUUGAUCAUUUCCAGCACCAUUUAACGGAUUCAUAAGCAUAAAAUCCUUCAAGUUUCAAAGAGGAGACCAAUUAAGAGGAAAGAAGAAUGAAAUGCGGCAUAAAGGAGCAGAAACCAAAAAACAGAAACAAAUGGGGGAUAAAAUGUGUGAUAAAUACAUCUAUGGGAUAUUGAUAGUGUAACUAAAUGAAAUAGAUAUCAAAUCAAUCAUAUACACAUAUAAAUACAACACAGAAAUAAGCAUGGCCAUGGUGAAAAAGGGCUGCAAUGUGGGUUGUAACCAGAGAAUGGAAUAUGGACAAGGAGCAUAAAAAAUGAUUUGGCAGGCCAAGAAAUGGCUAUUUUAAUAUGAUGAAAAAGAAAAAGAACAAAAAAAAUUCAUUAUGAACAUGACUUGAAGAGUACACCUACGCUCAAAUAAUGACCAAGUGAUCAACUUUAAAAUCACAUUGCUAACCUCAGCCCUACCCCUCAUGGAAAAAUGGAAAAAAUAAAUAAAAAGAAAAAAAAUUCUUAGAAGGCCUUGAGAAGGGUAAACCUGCUGGGACUCAAACCCGGAACCACCCCACAUCCCCACCCUCAACCCAAGCUACUCGAGCCACGCCUCAAGGGUGAUAAAGAUCUAACCUUCAGCAUUGAAUAAAAAAUAAGCUAAAUGUGCAAAAAAUAUCCAGUAUUUUCUCAUGCAUUUUAAUUGCUUACUAGACUAGAUAGAAUCUCCAGUCAUUGAUGAGAACAAAGAACUCAGUGUCUUUAUUAUUAUUAUUGAAUAAAAAAUAAUCUAAAUGUGCAAAAAUAUCCAGUAUUUUCUCAUGCAUUUUAAUUGCUUGCUAGACUAGAUAGAAUCUCCAGUCAUUGGUAAAAUUCAAUAAUUCCAAUUUCCACCAGUUGAUUUGUCAAGUCCCUAAUUAAAUAAUGAAAGAUAAAAUACUUUGAUGAGUUAUAUACUAAAAUAUUUGUGCUUCCCAAUCUAAUUCUAACAAGAACCCUACAAAAUGCACACCUUAAUCCAACUCAACCAACACUCAAUCUUGCGAUUGCCUCAUAGUCCACAAGGUACAUCGGAGAGACCUAACUUAUCUUGAUGUUACAAGAUUUCACAUGAACAUCUGAAUACAUCUCCUGGGGCAUGGUAAAGAUGAAUAUAAAAACAAAAUGAAAUCAAUACAAGAAGUUGAUAGCCCCUCUAUGAUCAUAACUGGGGUCAGCACAAUCAGUAACAUAAGAUUCAUGGCGUAGUAUCGCAUUCCAAACAAUAAAAUAUUGAAGUGUAUCAUAAACUCAACACAAGCAUAUGCAAUGUCAAUUAUCAUUAAGUCAACAAUGAUAUUAAACAUUGGUAUAAACAAUUGAAACAAUGACAACACAAAAGGAAAAAACCUUAUACAACUAUUAAUCUAUCCUCUUUGGAAGUCUUUUAUCAUCUUCCACAAAUUUCCCAUUUUCCUCCAUAUGCUGCACAAAAUCCGACCCCAUAUUUUUUGUAUCUUUGUCAUCAUUAAAGGAAAUAAAUGCAUGCAACUUUUAAAGAUUUGAGGCCAUGUGAAAAACUUGUCAUUUGAUGUCAAGUUUUUUUAUAUGAAAAAGUUUUCCAAAAUGAGAAUGGCAGAACUAUCAAUCUAUCUUCAUCUAGGUUUGGAGCUUCUUGAGUCUUUUAUCAAUUAUCAUCCACCAUAAAAUUCCAGUUUUCUUCUGUAAAUUGCUCAACCUCCAACAUAAUUUUUAAUUUUUUUUCUAAUUAAGAUUAAAUACAUGCAUAUUUUGAAGAUUAAGCCAUGUGGAGAAUUGUCAAUCAAUCGUAAGUUUUUCCUAUAUCAAAAGCAUUUUUUAAAAUUUUCGGCCUUGUUGGAAAAAAGACCUAAUGAGAUGGGUUUGUAUCACAAAACACUAAGGAUUGACUCAAAAGUCCCAAUGAAAUUAUAGCUACUGUAAAAACCAUGUAACCGCUUUCAAGCUUAAACCCAUAUUACAAGAGGAUGGUGGAAGAGGCCUCUCUUCUGACUGACAUAAUAACCAUGAGAAGUAUUAGCCAACAAAUCUUAAAUUGAGCAAAUUCAACAAACCAGUUGAUACCUUAAAUGCCCCAGUAUCCAAACUAAUAAUGUCUAAGGUCUUCCCAAAAGGUAUUUUGAUCUGCUUUAGGAAGUAACCUGUUCCUUGUCCUCUUGAAACUCUGGUACUGUACCUACAAGAAUUACAAUUCAGGAUUACCACACAAAGAGACUAAACCAAAAAGACUGUUACAUUAAAAACUACAUUGGAGUCCAAGUUUUGUAACAAUGAAAUUUCAAAAGAUGAGCUACAAAAAUGACACAACUGAUUGCAAAGUGGAUGGCAUACCAGGGAACUUUCAGUGUUGAAAAACGCCAAGUACCCUGUAAAAGAAGAUGUCAUCUUCUAAGAUUGUUCCUAACAGAUGAAACCAAUGAAACCUAAUUAAACUCAGCAGUAAUUUAUUUUCUAAUCACACACCUAUAAAGCAAAACAAAAUAAAACUACAGAAUUAAAUAUGAACCACUAUUCCAUUACUCCAACCAAAGCAUGGUUUCUAUUAUUUCAGUUAAAUUCACAAAAAGUUAGGAGAGAAUCAUUUCUACAACUUACCCAGAGUGAAGCAAUGCAUAACUUUGAUUAAAUUUGGCUAAACUAUGACAACUAAAGCUUCCAUAUAAAUGGAGUGUAAGCCUGAAGGUGCCACAAGAAAGUUCAUAUAACAAAUAGUAAAAGGGCUUCCCACAUUGAAUUUACUAGCCAUGGUCUUACAUUCUGUGUGAGUGGAUCGUCUUCCCCAAGUUCACUAAUGUUUAUCACAAACCUUGCCUCAUAAGUCUUUGCCGCCUUCUCCAUCUUCAUGGGAAAAAACAAUUCAAAUUAGAACAGGGAAAAUAGAAUAUAAACUCAAAAUGCUAUUAAUGUUAGUAGACGAUAAUCAUUUAAUGCAACUAAGUUCAAUAACAGAGGGGGGAAAUAACAAAGCCUAAAAACAGAGAAGGUGGAAGGCAGAAGUAACUUGGAUGAAUUAGAACCAAGAAGACAAGACAAGAUCAAAACCAACAGAUGAGAAGGCUGACACAAACAAUUGAGAGAGAUCAAAAACUGAACCAUAUAAUAAAAAACUCACUCACAUGAUUAUUCUUUGGCCAAAAGAUAAAGGUUAUGUUUGGUUCCAAAAAGUACCAAGGAAAGAAAAAAAUACUAAGAAAUAUUAUUAUGUUGCAUAUACAAUUAAAAACGGAAAAAGAAAGAUCUUCUAGGGUUCAACAACUGUCAUAUUAAAAAAAUAAUAAAAAUAAAAUUUCGAUCCCAGUAAAACCUAACACAAAAUUCUUUCCUCAAAGCAAAAUCAUUCACAUAGAAAGUAAUUGAGAAAGAAAUAAUAAACUGUUUGGUUGCUGAGAAAAUGGAGACAUAGAAAAGGAAAUCAAAAUUUUGAAACUCUAUUAUUUCCAUUAUUUGAAGGCCUGGAAGAAAGAGGGAAAAAAACUUCCACUCUUACCUUAAUUUAGGUUGUUUUGUCAAUUUCGAGAGGGGAAAAAACAGGAAAUUAAUUUCAAGCGAUUUCACUUUCAGCAUUCUCAGCAACCAAACGGAGCGUCUGAUAAAACUAUCAUAUCCACCAACAGAGCCAAAACCAAAUAUACCCACCAUCAACAUCUUAAAACAAAAUCCAUAUAGAACGAGAAAAACCCAUGCUUUUCUUCAAUGAACAAAAGGAAUCAAUAGAGAGGAUGAGAAAUAGACCUGUUUGAGAAGAUGGGUUUGUUGAUUAAGAGGUCUAAAUCCUCCUCUAACACUGAUAAAGUAAAGGUCAAGAGGCCUGCUACUGCCACUGCUGCUGUGGGACAUGGGCUUCUCCCAAGGCCGACCCAAGUUGAAUGCAAGCAAGACAGCCAAGCAGAGAGACAACUGUGUUAUAACAGUGCGAACCCAUGAAGGUUUCCCCAUUGUUAACACAGGUCUCACAGCCUCAGCUAUUCAACUGGUAAUUGAUUUCACUCAUAGAUCUGAAGAUAUAUGAGGAACGUAACCGCCGUCACCCGUAUCUCUAAUCUCCUCAAUGUUAUCUGUAGGGACCCCUCCCACACGUGGCACACAUUUUCAUCCGAGUUAAUCUCAUCCGGAUUUCCCCAAGAGUACACGUGGUGCGCUUCUCCUAUCCGGACUCCCUCAAGAAGAGGCACACGACACUCACAAACAUAACAUCCAGAUGACUGCCACAGCGCAUCCGGACGACCGACAUACACUAUCCGGGUAUAUAUAUCCGGAUCAUUGAUUGAAGUAAGCAAGUCUUACACGUUAUUACAACAACCUGUCAUGGCCCACGUUCCGCCACCUGUAGGGUGAAAGGACAAGAAUGAAGUGACGGCAAGUCACUUCCUGCGAUCACUUCCCACGAUUUCUGACAGUCGCAGCAACUACCACGAUCUCUAUCAGCCGCCUAUAGGGUGAUGAUGGCCCUGCCACCACCUAGUGUCAUCAUGACAACACAAAAUAUCUCCCUACCAUUAAAGAGAGAAACAAAGCUUCUGAUAUUAUAUAUAUGAACCUUCACACAAGGAGUAAGGUAAGCUUGCUAUACCUAGUAAAAUGCCAACUGAUUUAUCUCUCUCUAACCAUGGCUGACAAAACCAUCGGAGGGUGCGUCCGGACACCCUGUCCGGACGCCUUUUGCAGGUAGUACGAUUGAAUCAAGAAUCUAUAUUAGUUGAGAUCGUGCAUCCACCCAUUUGGCAACUAAGUGGAUCACCAGGGAUGCGACGCUUCAACAUUAUCAAUUGCUUGAUUAAGAUAUUCGCUAAUGAAGCUCCACUUGGCAGGCAGGACCCAUUAUUGAAGGGAAAUGCCUUUAUAGUUCGUUUAUAUUAUGGACUCUCGGACUAAAAUCGCUUUGUCAUAUUUGAAACUUUCCUCACAAACAAACGCACCAUCAGCCAUUAAACAUCAUAUUUCAGCAUUCUUUUUUUGCACAUUGUCACAUUCCUAUCUCCUAAUUUUCAAAAAUUAUUUUAAAUUUAAAAAUUGAGUUACCACUUCAAAAUAUAAACUUUUAAAAUAAAAUUAUGUACAUUUAAAUCCAUACUAAAUAUGUGUAUUUGCGUUUAUUGCCUUGUAAUAAUAUUUUAUUCUUUAUUAUUAUUAUAAUUUAGAUGAGUUGGUUCGAUCUAAUAUAAUAUUUGAACAAAUUUGGAUAUUUAUUUUUAAUAUUCCGAUUAGACUUUGGUUCAUUUUUUAAACCUCAUCUUAAUUUGGAUUUGACUUGGGAGAUACCUCUAAUGAAAAUUAAUAUGGUUCUCUUCAUACAUUCUAUUCUACUUUUCUUUUAAUAUCUUUGUUUAUUCUCUCGUAUUUUCUUAUUCUUAUUCUUUUAUUUCACAACAUGUUAUCAACAGAGUUAUGAAUAUAUAGAAAAAGAGAAGAAUACUUAAGGUAGAAAAGAAAAAGAGAAUAAUUCAUCUACAAAAUUUCUUAUAGAUAUGUAGUCUUAUUCUCUUCGAAUGAAAUAUGAAUAGUAUGCAUUGUAUUAUUAUAAUUUUUAUUUACUUUAUCUCAUAACCAGAAGUUAUGUGAAUCAUAUUUCAUAUAAUUACAUAUUUUAAUUAUUUAAUAACUAGAAAUUAUAUAGAAAGUUUUUUAUAACCAGAAGUUAUGAAAAAAUAUAUGUCCAAUCUUCAUAACUAGAUGUUAUGGAGUAAAUUACAAAAACACAAAUACGUAGUCGGAAGCUAUGCAUAAGAUCCCUAAUUACUUUUUAAUUGUAUUAUAUAUCUAAAAGUUAUAUAAAAUAACAUUAUAUGGCCAGAAGCUAUAUAAUGAAUAGUUCAUAACAUGAAGCUAUGUACAAAUCCAAAAUUACAAAUAUACGACCAGAAGCUAUGUAUAUAACUCAUAAUUAUUUGUUUUUAAUUAUAUAGUUGUGGACCCGCAAAUUUCACGUGCGCCCCCACUCGAUCGACGAGACUCGCUUUUUGUUGGUGAAAAAUUAAUUUUGGAAAAUUCAGAGUCACCACUUAUUUUAUUUUUAUUUUAAAGGGAAAAUAAAAUAAGAAAUAAAACUCUAAAAAAAAUGACUCCAUAAUUUUUGGAAAAGCGUGUCUUUGAAAAAAAACCCGAGUCUAAGUCCGGGGAUUAGGUUACUUAUUGGGUAGGUACCUCUAGGAGGUAGCAUCUUUCUAAGCCCUAAAGAAGUCUCUACUGACUAAAUUGGGGGUAAUAUAGCAAUUAAUUGAUUAAUUGGGGAUACCAAGAUAGGUUAAAGUGAUUUCAAAAAAUAACAUGCCAAAUAGGAUCAAAUUACCAUAAAAGAGAGUUAGGGUGCAUACUUGGACGACUUCUCAAGAGCUAUCAUAAAACAUGAAAGUUAGUAUUGAGAUACAUCACACAACACGCAUUUUAUCAAAGAUAAUCAAACAAUGAUCAAAUAUAUAUCAAGGCAAUCAAACAGGAUAGCAAGCAUGGACAUAGUACGCAACGACAAUCAUAUUCAUAGGGUUUAGAAAGUGGGUAUUAGGGAACGUACCUGGAUAGCAUUUAUAACUCCUAAUGCACUUCCUCAAGACAUGGGGGUUAGAUAAUAAAUAAUAAAUAGUAAAUCCUAGCAUGCUUAUCUAAUUAAUUAGCAAAAAUUAUCAGAAUACGGAAUAAUUAAUUAUCAUACAUAUCUUGUAUACAAUUCCUAAAAAGAAAAAUGUAAAUAUAAUUACAAUAAAUAGCAGGGUGGUAGUAAAAAUAAAUUUUGAAAAAGAUUUUCUUAUGUAGGGGUUUCACCAAUUCCCCAAAUUAAUAUACACAAAUUUAGCCUAAAAUUAUCCCAUUUAUUUGGGACCACAAGCUUUCAUUCGCGUUUUGUUCAAAACCAAAAUUUUUGUUGAAAAUUGAGAAAGAUGUGAACCGAUUAAGAUACGGUUGCAUAUUAUUUUUUAAAAAAAAGAAAAGAAAAGAGAUUUUGAUUCUAGAGGCUUUAAAUGAAUUUUAUAAAAAUAAAAUAAAAUCUUAAAAGGUUUUUUUGAGAAAAAGAGUUUUGCUUUAAAAUAAAAGAAAUUAACUUUUAAAAUAGCAAAAAUAGAAAACAAAAUAUCAAUCAAAACAAAAGGAAACAAAGAUCACAAAAUAAAGAUUUUAGAAAUUAUUGUCAAUUAAAGUGGUGAGAGUAAAGGCCAACCUUCAUGGGUUUCCAAUGGCCCUAAAAAAAAAAAAAAAAAAUUUGACCAACAAUUACUAAGGCAACAAAUUUAUGACUUCCUAAUCAAACAAACUAACAAAAUUAUCAUACAAAAACUAACAUUUAGAUUUCAAGAAACAUAUGAAUAACUAGAAUUAAAAAUGUAAACUUUACCUCACAGGAUCAAUUAAACUAAAGAAUUAAGAUUGAUAACACGUUCAAAUUAAAAAUAAACUAGAAUUUAAACUAAUCGGAAUUAAAACUAUAAACUUUACCUUACAAGACCAAUUAAACUGAUAGAUUUAAGAUCAAUAACUCAUUCAAAUUAAAAAUAAACUAAAAUUAAACUAAUUGGAAUUAAAAAUAUAAAUUUUACCUCACAAGAUCAAUUAAACUAAAGACUUAAGAUCAAUAACAUAUUCAAAUUAAAAAUAAACUAGAAUUAAACUAAUUGGAAUUAAAAAUAUAAAUUUUAUUUAAACUUUCAUGUAGAUUAAAAUAAACUAGCAUAGAACUAAUGAAUUGCAAUCAUAAAAGAGAGACAUUUAAUCUAAGAAAAAUAAAAGAUUGUUCGAAAUCGAGAUUUAAAAGAAUUUAUCACAAACAAUUAAUUAAACCAAUCAACAAAAACCCAAACUAAAAAAAAAAGAAAUAAGAAAUAAUGUAUCAAAAACCGAAAACUAACCUGUAUUGUAUCGGAAAAAUACUCUCUUGAUGUGUCAAAAUGACAGCCCAAUUAGUCUUUCAAGUCCUCUGCCAUUCCCCAAAAAAAAAACUCUUGCGCGUGCCCUCUCAAAAAAAGAUUGCCUCUUGUAUGUGGAUCUCUGCUCCAAAAGAAAAGUCCUCUCCCUGCGCCAAAGAAAUAAAAUUCCCGUGUCUGUCUUCUCUCUUACUUCUUCAUCAAUUUUCAGCCGUUGAAGACCCUCGUCAAAUGCACAUAUAUUUAAUAGAAAAUUCAGUCACUUCACUAACAACAAGGAGUCAUAAUUUCCUCCACUAUUCUGCCAUAAUUUUCAGCUCACUUAUCAAUGCUCCUUCACCAAAUUUCCAACGCAUUUCAUUGUGAAUUUUCAGCCAUGAAAAAAAAGCUUCCAUUCACAGCCACAAUUCCCGUGUGUCCACCACAAAAUUCAGUUUUCAAGAAUUCACCUUUUGCAUGAAACUACCAUCAAAGGAAUUCUCCAUAUGCAGCCAUAUAUUCCGUGAUUCAUCCAUGGAGAUUUAUAAAUUCAAGGCCAUUAUCUCCAUUAAACUAUUUUAAAAUUCAUCCAUGGAGAUUUAUAAAUUCAAGGCCAUUAUCUCCAUUAAGCUAUUAUAAAAUUCAUCCAUGGAGAUUUAUAAAUUCAAGGCCAUUAUCUCCAUUAAGCUGUUAUAAAAGUCAUCCAUGAAGAUUUUAUAUGCAAGGCCAUUGAAACCUGAUUGGAAUCAAGUAAUUAAUAUUCACAAAGUGGCUGCCCAUUCUCCAUCAGAAUCAAAGUGUUAACACGGCUGAAAGUGAAUGAAAGCCUUUCCCUUUAACCAAGGCAUCAACACGGCUGAAUGUGUAUAGAAUCUUCUUCAUUAAAUCAAGGCGUCAACACGCGUAAAGGGGAUGAAAUUCCUGCCCGCUUCGAUGGAGAUCUCCCCUCCUUCCCAGAAUAGUGCAGCUGAGUUCCAACCCCCCACCUCAAAAAUCUGAUUCUAAAUGUCUCCGACCUGUUGUGUGUGUAGCUCUCCCGAUCUGACCUGUGCGCGUGUUCUUGGAAAAUCAGAAUUGUGCGUGGACUCCUUCAUGCGGCUGUGGAGACUUCCUGAAGUGGUGUGUGGCUGUUAGUGCGUGGUCCCCAUGCUUGAGAUUCAACUUAAGCACAUGCAUGCAUGGAUUCCUUCAAUGAGAUAUCCUUACUCAUUUUUUGCAUGAGUUUGUUGACGUAAGUUACUAGGGAGAGGGUAAAUCCUUUCUUUCUUUCGCUAUUAGUUGAUCUAAAGGCUUUUAUGGUUAUUGAGUGCACUAGACUAGAAACAUACUUGCCCCAUUAGCAUGCAUAUAACGGAGCAACCAGCCCCCUUCAACAUCUCUCAUAACGUGUUCUACACUGUUGAAAGCUAAAUCCACAUGAGGUGUGUGAUGCAUAGCUAAAAAAACGCCAGUGACUAAAGAUUUUCGGAGAAGUGAUGCAAAACCUGUCUAGUCCUCUCUCACUGCAAGUCAUAGGGCCAGAAAGUCAAGCAUGGCCCAGCCCGUACCUCUCUUUCCUAGCUUCAUCUUGGCUACGCUCGAUCAUGAAACUAUCUCACCUCCGACUUUUUUUCACUAUUUACUCUUCUCUCAUUCAUGCACCAUACAUCUUAUCUGUAAUGAUAAAUUCAGAAUUCAAUCUGCUGUUUCAGUCUUAACCUCAAUGAUUGCUGGUUGAUCCUGAACUUCAUGCUUAUUUGCCCUUUGUGCAACUCUUAUUUUUUUCUUGGAUUGGUGCACAUAUUCUGCUGUUAUAAUAUGGAUCUUGGGAGUAGGCUUACUUGAUGAGGCAACAUUAAAACUUGACCUUUUUCCCGGCUCGGUGGAGAUAUUUCUGAGCCUAUUGUAAGUGGACGGUACAGAGAACAAGAAUGAAAGACUUCAAUAUUGGCUUCCCACAGGUUAUGGGUCCCGUCUGCACUGUCUUGAUGACAUAAUCACAGGGCUUGUAAAUCCGUUGUUUCGGAUCACACAGAAUAUGCAGAUAACAGAACCUUGUUAGCGCCCUCGCCUAAUCCUCCUUGAACGUCUGUAUAAUCAAAAGCCCCUCAUCUUCUUCCCAAGACGUCAAUUUCUUUUUGUAUGGAAGUUUCCAUAUAUUCUUCUAUGGGCAGCAACUUCUUUUCUUCCUUGUAGUCGUGUCUUCCUUAUAUGCAUGGUGGAGGUAACUUUAUAAAAUAAUGCAGCUGUCACUUUCCUUUCUCUAAAAUUUUGGUGAUCUUCCUUCCAAAUAGAUGGCAGCCCGUUUUUUAGAAAAAUAAUAAUAAUAAUCUUAUUUCCAUCCUUCAUUCAGCCGUGAUCUGCUUUCCUUUCUUCAACACUAUAAAUCUCAUUUCCAUGUUGCAUAGAAUAUCCCCACAUAUAUGCAGCCGUGUACAUUACAUCAAGAAUCUUCUCCAAUGUGUGCAUUCGAAUCUCAUGCCAAAAUAAAAAAAGAAUUAAAAUUAGUAAAGGUCAUGAAAUUGAAAAUUAAAACUAAUUUAAAAUUAUGCAAUUAAAAAAACAUUAUGUCUAUCAUAGGUACACAAAAAUAAUUAAGACAUCAGUUUACACAAUUAAUCAUCAAUCUCAUGCAAUAUUCUAUCAAAUAAAUAAAUAAAAACAAAUAACUAACCAAAUAAUAAUAAAUAAACAAGUAAAUAAAUAAAUAAAAUAAAAUAAAAUAGAUAAAUAAAUAAAUAAGAAAUCGAGUACAUGCAAACAUUAAAAGUGCAAAUCAUGCAAAUUAUGUAAGUCAUGUAGGAAUUACUGAAAAGGUGACAUAGGUGGGCCAGGAUGCCUAAGUGGACCUAAAGUGAGUGCGUGUAGGCUAGAAGGUGCCUAGAUGGGUCUAAGCGGGUCAAGGUGAAUCUAAGUGGGCCUAGGGUUGUGCUUAAUGGGCCAAGUGUAUUUAAAAACUAUCCUAAAAAUGAAUGAAAAGCCUAAUUCUAAAUUAAGGCUGCCAAGGGUCACAAUAAGGAGUCAGAUAAUCCCUCAACCAAAGUCUCCGAGAUGGCUCAAAAAAAGUAAGUAGUAUGAGUAGCUAUGGGCCACCAAGGAACUACUGUAAAGUAUCAAAUAAGUAUCUAAUAGGGCAUGUGCUAGGAGGACAAAAUUGAGGGUCUACAAUAGUAUAACUGAAAGUUAUACAAAAUAAUAUUUUAUACCCAGAAGCUAUAAAAUGAAUAGUUCAUAGCUUGAAAUUAUGCACAAAUCUGCACAAUGAAUAGUUUAUAGCCUAAAGUUAUGCACAAAUUUAUAUAAAAAAUAGUUCAUUGCCUAAAACUAUGUACAAAUUUAAAUAUUUUCUUGUUCUAACAAAAUAAUCAUAACUUGAAGCUAUGAAAGAUAUUAACUUUUAAUUUCUUUAUUUUCUUUUAAUUAUAUUGUUGUGGACCCCGCAUUUCGGCUCAAUGUGUUUCCCACUCGAUGGCGAGCUCGAUUUUUAUUAUUUUUGAAAAAUUGAUUUUUAUUGAUUAUUUGAAAAUGACUUGGAGUCGCCACUUAUUUUUGUUUUAUUUUUAAAGGGUAAACAAAAUAAGAAAGAAAAACCCUAAGUGUGACUCCUCAUUUUGGAAAAGGUGAUCUACGAAAAUCGGAUCAGGUUCGGGGGUCAGGUUACUUAUCGGGAAGGUACGGUAAAGACCGUAGCACCCCUCUAAGUCCCUAAGUCGGGUCUCUACUAAUGAGAUGAAGCUGACAUGGCAAUCAAUGAGAAAAUCAAUAAAUACUCGAACCAAUCAUGCACAUAUGAGAGUCAGAAAAUGCAUAUAAACUAACCAGAGUGGGAAUGAAUGUGUACCUGAGCAGCGAGCCACUAUGCGCUAUCAAGAGAGAGGGUUAGUGCAAAAUAAAGAGCAUAAACAUAGCUCACAUGUCACUAAAUCGAGUACAAAAUCAUCAAAGGCACGCAUGACACUUCACUCAAAAUUCAUUUUUAUUUUAAAGAAAAUUUAUUUGAUGUUGGGCCCUCACCAAAGCCCAUUUAUUUUGCACGAAUCAAUUCCAUAAAUCCCAUCACCUGAGAAUUACAAAAUUUGAUUUUUGGCUUAUUUUAAAACAUUUUAAAAUCAGAGAAGUUAUGAAAGUUGCAUGCCGAAGAGAGAUGGCGGCAAAUUUUAUUAAAAACAGAAUUUUGGAACCUAAAGAAAACCUAAGGAUGAAAGAUGGUAAAUAUUGAAAUUAUUUGAAAAUCGAUGUUUAAAAAAGUUAUUUGCAAGAAAGGAGUCAGAAAAUUAUUUUCUAAGCCAAAAGAUUGAUGGAAUGGGAGGUGACACGUGACCCAAAGGUGGCCAUGCAGAGAAAAUCCCAUUAUUAACCCACUUUGAAGGAGUGUUCUUUCUCUUAUUUCCUUUCUCAGUACAACGAGCCUGAUUUGAGGAAAAAACUGAGUCAACUUCCAGAUUUAGGGCCUCUCAGCAAUCCUUGAUUUGAUCUAUUCUGGGUUCGACAAAAGAUCUUCCCUCUGCAUCUCAAUCUCUCUUUCCUGGUUCACAAUCUCCUUGGGAACAUCUUCUAUAACAAGAGAUUGCACUUGAGGACAGGCAACAACUUGCAUGGCCAGGUCAUCAAUUAGCUUCACUUCUUAUCUCUCAAUUCGCAUCUUCAACAGUUUUCAAGCAUAGAGUCUCCUUUCCAGCCUCACCUUGGCCUCCUGAGUUCCAUUGCUUCUUGCAUCACUCGCCUCGCUUUACAGCAUGUGAAGUCCUGUACUUCCACUGGAGCCCAUGCUAAACUGGCUAUGGAUGGCUUGAUGGAGUUGCUGCCGAAGAUGAAAUGAGUAAAGGGCCCCUAAGUUAAACCCAUCAUGUCGUCCCAUAGGAAAAUGCUGAAAUUGCAUCAUAGAUACAACACUAUCACAAAGUUAUUCUUUCCGGUGAGGGUCCAUAGGAAAAUCAGUAAUUCCACCCUUAAAUCCUGGUAAUACAGGAAAAUCUUCAUUCUGGAUACUGAAUUCUCAGUUUUGAUGGACAACUCCAAUGCUUUGUUUCCACAGAGAACCCAGCUAUCCUUGAAAACUACCAGCAGAAUUGGGGUGAGCGAUCAGUUGGGGAAGACAGCAACAACACGCACUGAAUUUGUGACGAAACAUCUGAAAAGCGGGAUACUAGCUGAUGAAGAGUGUAGCUGAACAAGUGAUGAGAAAAUUACUGACAGCACGGUGUGGGUCGCCAUGGAUGGCACUCUAUAGACGGGACUGUGGUCUGGGAAUGAGGCUCUCCGAUGUGAAUAAUCGGUAUCUUAAAGGCAGUCUCAUCAGUUAUAACUUGGGGAUGCAAACCGCACACCCAUAUCAAUGAAACCAAUGAUAACAUACUCUUGAUCCUUGAUGGAAUAUCAAUCUAACGACAUAGGAAUCCCAGGUCAAUCUGUGAAACAAAGGGACCUCAAGGUGAAUGGUCAGCAGUGCAUUUUCGUCGUCCUCACGGAAAUUGAUGUCACAAACGGGCCUUCAUGAUUGGAUUUUCCUUUUCACUGUUCCAUUGAGGAUGGUAUUUCCCAUGCAUUUUUCCAUUUUGCAUGAAGAUGAGAAACUUCAGAACAAAUCUCAGCAGCAUAUGUACGUGCCAAAUCCUCUCUGAAAAGACACGGUUGCGAAACAGAAAGAGUGACCCCCAUUUACAAAAUCUGACGAAAGGCACAGUCGAUGUUUGGUCUGAAAUGAGUAUCGGAGCUGGAUAAUGAAAGGGUGAUGAGUUGGAGUGGUUUUGGGUGCUAAUGUAGAGUGAGAACUGUGAUGACGGGUAUCAGUGGGUGAUGGCAUCCAUGAGUGAGAAAUGGAUAUGCAUGAAGGGGUGUGGUGUAGAAAUGGAAAAGGUGGCGGAGGAUUCAUGAAGGUGUAGGGCUAUGGGCAUGGUGGUGUGGGAUUCCAUGAUGUGGAGAUAAGAGUGUGGGCAUGGUGAGGAUCUUACAAGUUGAUGGAAAAUGGUGAGAGAGGAAUGGAUGAUGAAUUGCAUGAAAAGUGGUUUGCAUAUGGUACAACAGUGGGAGAAAUGUGUAGGUGGGUAUGCGGUACAAAAAAAGGAAUGGGUAUAGCAAGCAUGAGGUGUGAUAGCUGGUGCAUGAUGACAAGAGUGAUGGUGAGCUUGAGGUGGGUUUGAUGCCGUGGAUGCAUGCAUGGGAGUGAUGGUAUGAGAUGUUGGAAGUGGGCAUGGGAAUGGUGGUCAAUGAGAAGGGUGAUCACACAAAUGAUGGAUACGAGUAUGGGGUAACAUGAUGAGCAAGCGGGCAUAGAGAAUAAAGAUGAAGGGCCCAAACCAUACUUCACCAGCUAUCUUAAGAUAAUCCAAAUCACCAGCACUAAGGGGUUGCCUUGAAGAGAGGAGUAAACUGUGAAUCUGAACUUGAUAUUUUGCCAUAAUCAACAGAGGGUCGUGCCAACAUGAGAGACCCAAAGACAGAACCAAUACCACUUCCAACAACACUGAAGACCUGAAUAACUUGAAGAUCGGUACAGUUAUUAGCCAGGUUUCUGAUGCAAUUUGAACAGAGGUUGAUAUUCUCUUUCCCAAUGAUAUAAUGGCCACAGGCAAAGUUAUUGAUAGCGUCCUCCUUGACACUGAUGAAUUGCUCUGAACGAAAAGGGUUGCCUGUGUGCUCCAAGCUCCACUUAAUUAGUUACAGUAGGCUCAAAGUAUGCUGGAUUGGCACGAAAGACAUGCUCCCUAGCAUCGGUUUCAUCUCAAUCUCUUUUGGAUGACCAUAAUAGGUACCAAAGAAGCCAUGGUUGCUCAACCUGGUUCGAAUCUUCCCAAAGACUCUAGUACCGAUUUCCCUUAGAAACGCCCAAUCUCAAACGGCCGAUCCAAACAAAACAACCAACACUCCAAAAGAAUACCAAAAACAGAGGAGAAAAUAUUGAAAGAAUGACACAAAAUAAAGCGAGGAAAGCAUAUUUUCAGAAGUUUCAUUUCAUGAAUCAUCCAUGAACCCUCUGAUUAGGUGAGAAAGACCCAUCUCCCAACACGACUACAAGCACUCAGCAUAACAGAGACUAUCAUACUCAAACCAGCAGUGGAUAAAAAUGAAUGCAAGAUUUAAUCUCAACAAACAACAAAGCCGCCUUCAUUAUCUACCCCAAAACAAACCAAAUGAGUAUCCAAAUAUCAAAAAAAAAAAUAUGUAGAAGAAUGACAAACGUACCUGAAAAUCUCUUUCUCAACCAAGUAUAUGGGGCUUCAAAUCCACUGCUCUGUUUCUAGCUUGCUCUUUAAGUCAAAACCUUCCUCUGUAACUUGUUUGCCUUCCCAGAGUUUGAACCUCUUUGCUUCCUCAAAACUCAAGAAGACCUCUCUUCUCAAAACAAUAUCCUCCUAAACGGUCAGAAAAAUUACCUUUUCUCUCCUCUCAGACUAACACUCUCUCCUCCCCCUCCCCCAAUGGAACCUCUCCUAUUCUCUCUCCUCUAUUUUUCCUCCAGUAGCAAAAACUUGAAUCUCAAGCAAGAAAAUCGUCUCUGAAUGUGAAUCUCUCCCCUCUCCAGCCAAACUUCGGGAAGGAAACCACACUCCUCACAGCAGAAAAAUGGCUAUCACCCUCACUCUCAGUAAGAAAACUCUCCCAAGAAAAAAGCUCUCUCCCCCUAGAAAAUCUCCUUUCGCAGCCCAGGCACUUCACCUUCUGAAACUUAGAACUCUCUGAAAAACCCCGCCUGGAACCCCCACUCUCUUGACCUCCAAGCCAAAGGAAAAUCCCCCUCACGGCUCUCUCAUCACUGCAAAAAUCCCGCACCUCCCUCCAGAAUAUCUUUUUUUUUUUUUUUUUUCUCCUCUAUAACAACUUUUCUUUUUCUCCCGGAUUUGCCCCUCCAACCCACUCUGCCGCAACAGCCCCCUUCCUCUACACCACCCCUCUGCUAAUAACAGAAGACGCUCCUCAAGACAACGGCCUGCAGAUCCUCAUGCCACCUGUCAACCUUCCAUUGGCAUCCUAAAAGCAUCAUCUGAUUCUGCACCAGCCUCUCAAGAGAAGACACGUGGUGGAGCAAGGCUCUUCCACGUGGCAAAAUGAGCAGCUGCCUGAAUGGCCCCAAAUGGGGGGUCUACAAUUGUGUAACUGGAAGUUAUACAUAAAUAGUUCAUAGUCUGAAGUUAUGCACAAAUUUACAUUAAAAAAAAAAGUUGAUAACCUGAAUCUAUGUAUAAAUUUGCAUAUUUUCUUGUUUUGACAAAAUAAUUAUAACUCAAAGUUAUGAAAAAAUAUUGGCUUUUAAUUUUUAUUUCGUAUUCACUUAUUUUUCACAAUAGAAAUUAUGGAAAACAAUUUUUAUUAACAAUUCUUUCAUAGCCAGAAACUAUGCAAACAAUUUCUAAUUCUCUUGUAUAACCAGAAGUUAUACAAAACAAAAUUGUCAAUGAACAACUAUGUACCUAGAAGAUAUAUAAUUUUUUUUAAAAUUUUGUUAUAUAACCAGAAGUUAUAUCAUAAUAUAAUUGUCAAUUGUUUAAUGUUAUUGUAACAUUACUUAAAUUUUAAUUAUUCAUAACCUGAAGCUAUGAAGAAAAAGUUAGUAAAUUAAUAAUUGUUAGAGCUUGUAUAGCAAGAAGUUAUAUGAAUAUAUAUAUAUAUAUAUAUAUUAUAUAACCAAAAGUUAUAUAAAUAUUAUUAUUCAUAAACCGAAGUUAUGAAAAUAAGAAAAUUAAUAUUCUUUGUGCUAAUAAAAUGUUAUGUCAAAGUUGGUAAUAUGUACUUUUUUAUAGUUAGAAGCUAUAGAGAACAAAAUUGUUAACUAACAAUUUUGUACAACUUUAUGAAAUUUAUAUGACCAAAACUUAUAAUGAAAUAUAUUAUAGCUUGAAGCUAUGAUAACAAGCAUAUAGAUAAUAUUUACAUAUUAUCAAAAGAUUAAUAUUUUGUAUAUCAAGUUAUACAAAUAGACAAUUGUUUGAUAGUUUUUAUAAAUUUCUAUUAUUAGAAGUAUACUGUCAUUAGUAGAAAAAUUUAUAUAUAGAUGUGGAAUUUUGAAUUGCAUGAAAGUAUGAUAUUUUUGUAUUAUAGGUGAUAGUUUGGAAUAUUUUUUUUAUUCUAGUUAUUUAAUAUACAAUAAUAUUUUGAUUUAGAAAUUUGAGAUUUUUUGGGUACAUGUGAAAUAUAUGACUUGGUCAUAUGAUUAAUAAAUUGAUUUCGCAUGUCUUAUUUGUUUAUAACAUGUUUUUAUGAUUGAAAAUUUUUGAGUUGUAUAAAAUAAUAUAUAUUAUUGCAUGUUGUCACAUAUGAUAUUUUUAUUAAUGCAUUAAUUUCAUUAUUCAAGAAUAUCUUUUCAGAAACAAUACAUUCAACUAUUAUUUUUAAUAUAUUAUGUUAUAUCUUUACAUACAUAUUUAUAUAGAUUUGUAAUGUUUCGAUUUAAGUUUUGAAACAAUAAGAUGCUUUAAAUCAUGAUAUGUUCUUUUGAAAUUUUGAUUUAUGAAUUAAUUUCUGCACAUUGAUUUAUAUCGUAAUAAUAUUUUGAAUAAAAAUUAUUGAUCUAUCACUACAAUUAGUUUGAUUAUUGAAAGACUUCCUAGUUAUUUCAUAUAUAAAUUGUUCCACACUUAUAAAAUCAAAUGUGUGAGAUAUUUAAGAAACAAAUAACUUUAAAUUAUCUUUUUCAUAUUUGUUUUGUUGUGUUAUAUAUGCUUUCAUUGUUUUUACACAACUUAUUAAGGUAAGUCAUCAUCGAUGACUAGUAUAUUUCCAUUUGAUUUUAACUCUUUUUCUAUGAUAAUAUUUCUUCAACUCUAUAAAGGUGAGGUCUUUAUGACAUGUUUUAUGACUUGUUAUUUUGAUGAAACUCUUGUCUCAUUAAUUGCACAACAUUGAUGACAGACAAUGUUAAUACUAUAUCAGGUGAUAGAAACCUAAUUAAAGGCUCCAGAAUAACUUAUACUAUGUCAUUAGUAGUAUUUGAUUCUAUGUGAAUGACACUUUAUACGAUGCUAGAUCCAGAAGAAUCUUGUAAGACCAACUUAGUUCCCCAUGGUAAAAGGUCGUAUGGAUGUACAUUAUAAAACCAGAAGUUUUUAUUUUGUAACUAGUCUAUCUAUACACUUGAAAGAUAGAAUGACACGUUGUGCAAAUUAUCAUUUUAAUUAGACAAUUUUCUCGCCGUUAGGGGUAGAAGAGUCAAUUCCAGAAGAACAGCGUGAAAUUAUUUGGAAUGCAUUGACUUUGACUUAUCUUGAUCCUCGUACUAAUCAAUGUGAAGUGGAAGUUCAAAAGAUUAUUUAUUUGCAAGAACUUGUAAAUCAACUACUAAAUGUUUUCAUUGAUGCAAAGAAAGUGACGAUCAUUUUCACUUACCUAGAACAUUCCAGUACGAAUUAAUGUCCCUGAAUGACAAUUAAAUAAUGCGUUGAUGUCCCUGAAUGACGAUUAAAUAAUGAGUUGAUGUCCCUGAAAGACAAUUAAAUAAUGAGUCUAAUGCACACUUGUAGACCCCCUUUUAGGUCAUUCCUACCUUGCAGCUCAAUUUUACCACGUGGAAGAGCCUUGGUCAGCCACGUGUCAGCACCUGAGAAGCCAUGAGAGAAUCAUAAUAGUGGUUUGGGGAGCCAAUCAGGAGGUGACGCGUACAUGGGAAUAUACUGGCCGUUAGAGGAGCAGAUGCUGGCAGCUGGAGGUGAGGUGCUUUUGGAGAGGUUGCCAGCUGCAGGAAGGGGGUGUCGUCUGGCAGCUAGAGGAGCUCUCUGAGCAGGCCGUUAGAGAUUUUUUUUAGGUGAGAGAGGGAAGCUAAGAAGAGGAAAAAAAAAGUCAGAGGAGAAAGGGGUGAGAGUUUGAGGAGAGUUUGAGAGAGAAAAGAGAACCUGAGGGAAAACGAGACAAGAAGGCUGGUGAUAGGGAAGCUGACAGCUGCGGGAAGGUGGUCCGGGCUGCCGUUGGGUGAUUUUUCGAAGGAACGUUUGAGGCUGGAAUAGAACAUCGGCACUCUCAGGUAUGAAAGCAAAAGGUUUAUUGUUAGUUUUUUAUUCUUAUUGAUCCUCCAUAGUUGCUGUUGAUAUUUUGAAUGUUGUUUAGUUUGUUGGGAUGAAAUCUUGCUUUCACGGUUGUCAUUGCUGAUUUUGGUAUACUCUGCUUCUAUUAUGAAUGUGCCUCAAUGUUGUGUUUAAAAUGGAUUUUCUCACCUAAUCAAAGGGUUCAUGGAUGGCUCAUGAAAUGAAACCUCUGAAAACCUUUACUCGUUUUCUUUUUGUGUUUUUUUUUGUUUUGUUUUUUUUAUUUCAAUGGGUCCUUCUUUUGUUGUGGCCAAUAUUCUGCUUCUGGGUCUCGUUUAAUGCCAUGGCUGUGAGAAGAGGUUAUUUUGGGUUAAAGAAGCAAACAAGUUGCAUGAGGCUACUUUUGGCUGUUAGAGGGGAAUAUUUUUGAGGGAGUAUUCUUUCUGGGAAAGGGAAAAACGAGUUGUUGAAGCAGCUCCACACCAGAAAAAGGUGAAGGGAAUAGAGACGGAGCCCUUGCAGAAAGAGUGAACCCAUCUUUGAACUCUAUUCAGCUCACGUUUUGACCCAAAAUCUAUUCAAUAUCACUGAAGACAACGUGGGAAAUCUCUGUAUGUCACUCGAAACUGAACAGUAGAAGAAUUUGUGGGACGAUAUUGAGGAAGUAGAAAGGCUUGAAUGUAUUAAAAUUCUCAGAGGUGUACUAUGCACCAGGGCCUGUCUUGAGGGGAUAGUUUCUUGGCUAGUUUCAUGCUGGUAUUGGGAAAAGUAUUGGGGUGCUGCUCAUGACUUGAGUGAGGGAGAGAGAUCUACAAAGAGGGAAGUUGCUGGUUUUGACGACAUUAGAGGAGGAUUCAGGGCAUUUAAAACAGAGGAGGUUUCUGGAAAGAACAAGGAGGGCAUUGUGAGGGAUUCUGGCAGAGAGCGAGAGGGGAGGAUUCUGUUAGCUAGGGGACAGUUUCUUUGCCUGAGGGCAAGUUGUAGGGAAAAGGGGGAGAGGAAGAAAAGGAAAACGGGUGGCAGCUGAGAGGAUUUGUGAGGAGAAUAGGAUGCACAGUUGAAUGACAUGCAGCCAUGGAACUCCGUGCCUUUGAUUUUGGUGUGCCUUAAUGGAGGAAUUAUUUUUUUAAUGAGAGAACUCACAUGUGGCAGUUCAAUGGCUGAAAUUCUUCAAAAAAAAAAAAAAAAGUCAAUGAGUUAAAGUGGUUAUACAUGGAGAAAUUAAUGGUUGAAAUUCAAACGGGUGUACGUGGUGGGUUUUUGGAAAUUCAAUGAUGAAUAUUCAAGGCAUUUGAUAGUGCACAUCAACUAGCGAGUCGGCAAUCCGGAUGCACAGUUUUUGGUUUGUUUUUAUUAAUUUCACUUGCUUUUCAUAUUUUAAUUUUUCUUUUAAUAGAAAAUUGUUCGAGUGACUUUGGUUUGCUUUUAAAGAUCGAUUUUAAAUUCUACUUUAAUGUUUAAUUCUUUAACUUCUUUUAAUUCAUCCUUAGCAUUCCUAAUUUACUAAAAUCCAAUCUUAAUAAUCAUCCUUAGCAUUCCUAAUUUACUAAAAUCCAAUCUUAAUAAAUCAUUUGUUAUCGUAUUUCUUUUCCACUUAUGCAUGAAUUGCAUGGCCACCUUUUAGGCCACGUGUCACCUACUGUUUCAACAUCUUCGACUAAAACCCUCUUUUGUAAAUAAUUUUUAAAUUCUGUUUUUUUUUUUAAAUAAUCCUAAAAUCUAGGUUUUUUUUUUAAAAAAUUUCAAAUAACUUCAAUUUUUUUUUGAAUUUCAUCAUUAGAGUUUUUAGGUCCCGAAAAUCCGUUUUCCAAUAAAAUUCGUUGCCAUUUUUCUUCGGCAUACAUUUUUCGUUACUUCCAUGCUUUUAAAAUAUUUUAAAACAAGCAUAGAUUCAAUUCCGUAAUUCCGAAUAACAGGGUUUAUGGAAUUAAUUCAUGCAAAAUAAACGGGCUUUGGUGGGGGCCCCACAUAUGUGAUUUAUGAUCGAUUAACUGAUUGAUUGAUUUAAUUGUCAUGCAUGAUUGAUUUAUUCUGCUCUAUGACAUGCUCGAAAUUAUUUCUUAACUAUGCACUAACCCUCCUCUUGAUAGCGCAUAUUGGUUCGCCACCCAGGUAUGUAUUUUCCUGCAUCAUGGUCACUCCUUAUGCUUGUUUCUAAUUCUCAUAUGUGCAUGAUCGAUUUGGGUCUUCAUUGAUUUUCUCAUUGGUUGCCAUGUCAACUUCAUUUUAUUAGUAGAGACCCGACUUUAGGGACUUAGAGGAGUGCUACGGUCUUUACCGUACCUUCCCGAUAAGUAACCUGACCCCCGAACCCGAUUCGGUUUUUUGUAGAUCACCUUUUCCAAAUAAGGAGUCACACUUAGGGUUUUUCUUUCUUAUUUUGUUUACCCUUUUGAAAAUAAAACAAAAAUAAGUGGCGACUCCAAGUCAUUUUCUUAAUCAAUAAAAAUCAAUUUUUCAAAAUAAAAAUCGAGCUCGCCAUUCGAGUGGGAAACGCAUUGAGUCGAAAUGCGGGGUCCACAACACUUGAAGCGUGGUAAACCCUGAAAAGGCAAACAAAUUCCUUUAAAAGAAAAACACAAGGAAAGAUAUAUGAAAUGUGACACUCUUGAAGAAGUCGCAUAUAAAAUGAGUUAUUAAAAUGAUUGAUCAAUCUCAAGCAGCCCCUAAAGAGGCACAGUUUAAACAAGUAGCCUUAUGAUAGGUAUAUGUUUAAUAAUUAGUUCCUGAAAAUGUACAAGUACCUGAUAUUGAUGAGAUCUCAAUUAUUUACUUAUAUAUGAAAAAAAAAUGGGAUUGAAAUACUCUUGUCAUUAACAAUAUAUUUUCUUUCCAAAUAGCUGUUGACAUCAUAAGAAUUGAUGAGGAUCCCAAAGUAGAAACUAUGAAUGAAUGUCAACAUAGAAAAGAUUGGCCAAAAUGGAAAGAAUACAUCCCAAAAAAAUUAUACUCAUUAGAAAAAUGAGAAGUAUUUGAACCUGUAGUCCAAACGCCUGAAGUUGUCAAACUUAUUGAAUAUAAAUGAGUAUUUAUAAGAAAGUGUAAUGAGAAAAAUGAAAUCACGAUAUAUAAAAUGUGACUCAUAGCUCAAGGUUUUCCGCAGAAACCUAGUAUUAACUAUGAGGAAACAUAUUCUCCUAUGAUGGACGCAACCAUAUUUAGAUAUCUAAUUUGUUUAACAGUCUUAGAAUGACUAGAUUUGCGUUUCAUGAAUGUCAUUAUUGCAUAUUUACGUGAAUCUUUAGAUAAUCACACACACACACACACACACACACACACACACACACACACAUACAUAUAUAUAUAUAUAUAUAUAUAUAUAUAUAUACGAAAAUCCUUGAAGGAUUUCAAAUACUUGAAGCAACUAAUUCAAAAUAUUGUAGCAUAUACUCAAUUAAGUUACAAAGAUCCUUGUAUCAAUUAAGCAAUCUAAAAACAUGUGAUACGAUCACUUCAAUGAAUAUUUGAAGCGAGAAGUAUGUAUGUAUUACCUUAUUUAUUUAUACAUAUUCAUUAUAUUGAAUUUUUGCAAUUAUUAUAGUAUAUGUGGAACAUUGAAUUUUUUUGGAACUCCUGAAGAGCUUACAAAAAUAGUUGACUAUUUAAAAAUUAAAUUUUGAAAUGAAAGAUCCUGGAAAACAAUUUUUUUUUCCUCGACCUGCAGAUCGAGUAUUUUUCAAACGAAAUAUUAGUUUAUUAGUCAACAUAUACAAAGAAAUUCUUGAAGCACUUUCAUAUGGAUAAAUCACAUCCAUUAAGUUCUCUGAUGAUAGUUCAUUCACUUGAAGUGAAAAAUGACCCUUUUUGUCCUAAAGAAGAUAAUAAAAAACUAUUUGGUCCAAAAAUACCAUAUUACAGUGUUAUUGGUGCAUCGAUGAAUCUUGCAAAUUAUACAUGACCAGAUAUUGCAUUCCUUGUUAAUUUACUUGUGAGAUAUAGUUCUACACCAAUUCAAAGACAUUGGAAUAAAAACAAGCAUGUACUACAAUAACAUGGGUCUAUGUUAUUCCAAAUGAUCAGAAUCUUAAGUGCUUGAAUAUGUAGAUGUUGACUAUCUUUCACACCCCCACAAAGCUCGAUCUUAAAUGAGGUAUGUAUUUAUCUAUGGUGGUACGACAAUAUCAUGGAGAUCAAUCAUGCAAAUAAUGGAAACAUGUGGACUACCCUCCAUCAAAGGUAAUGCUACCAAGUUAAUAAUGCUGCAUGUAUUGCACAAAUUAAAGAAUGAUACAUUAAGGGUGAUAGAAUUAAGCACAUAUCGUCCAAGUCUUUUACUUUCAUUAACUCAAGAAUAGUGAUGAAAUUGCUAUUCGACGAAUAAAAUCAAGUGGCAAUUUAGUAUAUCUAUUCACAAAGGCAUUGUCAAUUACAAUACUCAAGAAGCUCAUUGGAAUACGCCGACUCAAAGAUCUCCAUGUUGUACUACUAGAGAAAAUAUAAUCAUGUCAACAUGAGGGGGAGCUAAUUGAUAAAAAUAUCACUACGCUACACUCUUUUUUCCUUCAUCCAAGUUUUGUCUCAUUGGGUUUUACUGGCAAGGUUUUUAAUAAGACAAUUGUGGUAAUCCAAAAAAAUAUUGUACUCUUUUUCUUUCACUAGGGUUUUUCCUAGUAAGGUUUUAAUGAGACAUAUUCUUAUGAUCAUACAAGGAGGAGUAUUAUAAAAUAUGAGAUUUUGUAUCACUAUGGUAACUUGUGGAUGAUCAUUCAUAUUAAUAUACAUCUCUUUGUAACUCCCUAUAAAAGGGAGAUACCUCUAAUGAAAAUUAAUCUGGUUCUCUUCCAACAUUUUGUUAUACUUUUCUUUGAAUAUCUUUGUUUAUUCUCUCAUAUUUUCUUUUUCUUCUUCUUUUUAUUUCACAACUGUGGACCCGCAUUUUUCACGUGCGCCCCCACUUGAUCGACGAGACUCGCUUUUUAUUGUGAAAAAUUAAUUUUAAAAAAAAGUUGGAGUCGCCACUUAUUUUAUUUUUUAUUUUUGAAGGGAAAAUAAAACAAGAAAUAAAACCCUAAAAAAAAUGACUCCAUAAUUUUUGGAAAAGCGUGUCUUUGAAAACCCAAGUCUUGGUCCGGGGAUCAGGUUACUUAUUGGGAAGGUACCUCUAGGAGGUAGCACCCCUCUAAGCCCUAAAGAGGUCUCUACUAACUAAGUUAAGGGAAGCGUGGCAAUUAAAUGGUUGACCUCGGGUACCUAAGUAGGCUAGGUGAUUCCAAAAAAAACAUAACAUAUCAAACAAAAUCAAAUCACAAUUAAGGAGAGUUAAAAAUGCGUACCUGGACAGCCUCCCAAGCGCUAUCAUAAAACAUAAGAGAUUAGUUUGGAGAUACAUCACACAACAUUGUUUUAUCAAAGAUAAUCAAACAAUCAUCAAAUGUAUAUCAAGGCAAUUAAAGAGGAUAGCAAGCAUGGGCAUACAUAUUCAUAGGGUUUAGAAAGUGGGUAUUAGGGAACGUACCUGGAUAGCAUAUUUAAUUCCUAAUGCGCUUCCACAAAACAUGAGAGGUUAGAUAACAAACAAUAAAAUAAGAAGUCCUAGCAUGCUCGUUAUCUAAUUAUCAUAGCAUAAAUUGUCAAAAUAUAUGAAAACAAUAAUUAUCACACUCAUCUUGUAUACAAUUUCUAAAAAAAAGAUAGAUAUAAUUUCAAAAAGUGACAAAAAUGGCAACAAAAAUAAUUUUUGAAAAGAUUUUCUUAUGUAGGGGUUUCACCAAUUCCCCAAAUUAAUAUACACAAAUUUAGCCCAGAAUUAUCCCAUUAUUUGGGACCACAAGCUUUGAUUCGUGUUUUUGUUCAAAACCAAACUUUUUGUUAGAAACUGAGAAGGAUGCAAACCGAACAAAAAAAUGGUUGCAUAUUAUUUUAAGAAAAUGAGAUUUUUUUUAUUCCAAGGACUCUAAAUGAAUUUUUUUUUUAAAAUAGGUUUUUAAAGGGAUCUUUUAAGGAAAGUGUUGGAUUUCAAAAUAAAAAGAAAUUAAUUUGAAAAUGACAAGACAUAAGGAACAAAAUACCAAGCAAAACAAAAGUGAUUAAAAUCGCAAAGUAGAGUUUUUGACAACUGAGAAAAUUGAAGUGGUGAGAAUGGAGGUCAAUCUUCCCUAUUUUCCGAUGGCCUCCGAAAAGUAAAUUUUACUAGAGAUUACCAAAGCAAUAAACUACUCAAACUCAGGUCAAAUAAGCUAACGAGAUACCCACCAAGAAUUAAUGACGAAUAUUUAAGAAACACAUCCAUUAAGAAUAAAAAUCAAGAAUUAGCAUGAGAUCAAUUAACCACACAAACACAUCUAGAUUUAUUAAAAUGAGACAAAUUAAAUCAAAGCAAACAAUAAUUUUCAAACAUAGAAUUAACUUUAUUAAUGAAGUAAUUUUAUAUAAAAUACUUAAAUCGAAUAGAUGAGUGAAACUAAAUCAGGGUAAACUAAAGGCAUGAAUUUUCAAAUAUAGAAUUGAUUUUAUUAAUGACCUAAAAUUUUACAAACUCCUAAAAUACUUAAAAUGAAUCAAUUUAAACAAAAGGAAACUAAAACAAAAUAUGGAUUUAGGGAAUCUAAUUUCAAAAUAAACUUACAUUAUUAAAAUGAAACCUAGGCUUAAAAUGAAUUAAACACUAAUUAAAGUCAAUCUAAACUUAAAUUCUUAACAUACAUGAUCAAUUAUUUUAACAAAUUAAAAUUUUACAAGAGCACCUAAACCUAAAGUUAUAUAAAAACACUAACAAGAACAGAUUUUUAAAAUUAAAUCUCUAACCUAUAAAAAUUAGUUUUAUUAAUAAAUAAAUGAAAUAGGUAAUGCAUGACUAAAUAAGUAUAGCUAAAACAAAAUACGGACUCAUGGAAUUAAUUUUUUUUUUUUUUUUGUGUAUAAACUUACAUUACUGGAAUAAAAUUUGAGCUUAACAAAUGUUUUUAACACUAAUUAAGGUAAGUUUAAAAUCUAAUAUUUAACAUAUAAAAAUCAAUCAUUUCAACAAACUAAAAUUUUACUUAAACCUAAAACCAAUUCAACCGACCUACAACAAUUUUUUUUUUUUUAAACUGAAUUUUUAGCCCAUAGGAUCAAUCUUAUUAAUAAAUAAAUAAAUUACAAAGAAUUAAAUUAAUAGCAAAUAAAUAAAUAAAUAAUCAAUAAUUAAAUGAAUCAAAACUAAAUUAAAUAAAGAUCAACUAUAUAUUUUUUUUCAAGUAAAGCUACAUAAAAUUGUAUUUUAUGAAUUGAAUAUAAUACAUCAAAACUAACCUUAAACAACACUAAUCUUUAAUGUAAUAAAUCAAAAAAUUAAACAAAAAGUGAGAUUGUGCUCCCAUAUUAAAACGAAUACAUGCUGGAGCCAAUAAAACAAAUCAACCCACUCAACCCAAUAUAAUAAUCCAACUUUAAAUAGUACAUCACAAGACAUCAAAGUUCCACCCAAUGUAAUAAAUAAAUAAAAAAUUAAACCAAAAGUGAGAUUUUGCUGCCAUAUGAAUACAUGUUGGAGCCAAUAAAACAAAUCAACCCACUCAACCCAAUAUAAUAAUCCAACUUUAAAAAGUACAUCACAAGACAUCAAAGUUCCACUAAAAACUCAUAAAAAAAUAACUAACUUACCUAGUUGGCUUACCAAAAAAAACCUGGUGGCAUGUAGUUGCUUUCUCUUCCCUAAUGAUGCUCGGGAACAAUGGUAUUGGUUGAUGGGAACUGAUGAGUUUUGGUUCUUCAGCCAAUACUCUUAUUUCAAAUCAACAAAGCUCGUCUCAAGGAACGGUAAGUAUAAAUUUAAGAACCCCGCAACUGGUUUUCAAUUAUUUUGAUAGCCAAUAAAAAAUGGAUAAUGUGUUCCAGAAGUUGGACGAACAUGAGGACGUAUGGCAGGAGAAUGGAGAAAAGCAAAUGUGCGGCCUGGUUGUGUAGUUGACGAUGAUGGGAAUUGGAGGAUUCUCUGUUUUUAAGGAUAUGUGGAUGGAUGGACUGCUGUCCAGAUGGUUCUCGAUUUUCAACCAAAGGAAGAUUCAGAAGACUCAUGCGACAGGAAAAUUCAGAUGACGCAAACACCAACUUCGGCCUGGCUACGUCAACUUCAGCAGCGGGGUUGACCAAAACGAUCUGGGUGUUCAGGAUCUAACCAUUGGUGAGUUCAAAUGUUGUCUCCCUUCUUUCCCUUCCAAAUCUUCCCGUUCCCUCUCCUCUAUACCUUCCCAAUCGCGGGGUGAAUAGCCGAUGAAUCACCAAACAGUUGCGUAUGUGGGUUUCCCCAAAACAACUUAUCUCUGCUCUAAAAAAAAAAACCUCCCUCUCUCGUGUGUCUUCCUUCCUUUUCUUUUCUUUUCCUUCUUCUUCCUCUUUUCUCAAUCUCUCCGACUCCUCUCUAGCCACCAGUGAUCGAAGGCACCGUAGCCAAGGUUUUCCUCUUUUCUGAUCAUUUUUUUUUCUCUUCUUGAAUGCAAAAAAAUAUUUUCUUUCUUUCCUGGUGCAGCUGCCACUUCCCUCUAGAGAAUCAUUUCCUUCUCAAUGGUCCCGUUGACUCUACCAAUAUGGAAAAAAUCCCUCACCGGUCUAGAGAAAACCCGUAAUCUUCCGCAUCAGUCCAACAUGAUUAGAACCCUACAUUUUGAACCUAGCCUUCAUUUCCAUCCCUAUACACACCGAACAUCUUCUUUUCACCUGCCAAAAUCAGCUUUGGUAAGUUUCUAAACCUUCCCAUCUCUCUCUUUCUUCCCUUUUUCAUAUCUGUCUUGGGUUGAAUGCUCUUUCAAAUCACGGUCGAAUCUCCCUUCCAUAGAACCCUGCAAUAAAAAUAGUAAAAACAAAAUCAUCCAAUUAAAUAGUAAUAAUAAUAAUAAUAAUAAUAAUAAUAAUAAUAAAUAAAUAAAUAAAUAAAUAAUAAUAAUAAUAAAGAUGAUUAAUCAUAUACAUGUACAAGAUAACCAAAAUAUUAUUUCAUGAUAAAGAAACAUAACGUUAGUAUCUUAUAAUCUCCUAAAAAUAAAUAAAUACAAGAACAAAUAAACUAAAACCCACUUAAAACAAAAAUCAAACAAAUAGAAUUCCAGAAGACAAACCUUAGUGUACUAAGCUUAAAGAACUACCCAAGGGAUUCUAAGUGGGCCUAAAGUGGUGCUUAAUGGACCUAGCCUUCCUAAGUGGGCCUAAGUGGGCUUAGAGUGGGCCUAAGUGUAUCUAAGUGAACCUAGGAUGCCUAAGUGAGCUUAAAGUGGUGCCUAAUGGGUUAGGCAUGUCUAAUGGGCCUAAGGUGUACUAAGUGAACCUAAGGUGCCUAAAUGGGCCUAAGGUGACUAAGUGGGCCUGAAGUGUCUAAAUGGGCCUAAAGUAAUCUAAUGGGCCAAGUGUACCUAAAUGGGCCUAGGGUUACCUAAUGGGCCAAGUGUGGUGCCUAAGUGGGCCUAAAGUGCCUAAGUCUAAAUUAGAGCUGCCAAAGGUCACAAUAAGAUGUCAAAUCAUCCCCCAACCAAAGUCUCCAAGGUGGCUUAGAAAAGAUAGGCUACACGAAUAUUAACGGGCCACCAGGGAAUUGUUAUAAACGACAUGUGCGAGGAAGACAAAAUUGAGGGUCUACAACAACAUAUAUAUAUAUAUAUAUAUAUAUAUAUAUAUAUCAAACUAUAAUUAUAUAAUUUUUUUUAAAUGUAUAAAUCCAUUUUAUUUUUUUAUUAGCUUAAAAUUUUUAUUUUUAAAUAUAGAAAUGUAUUUUUGUUAAAAAAUUAUAUUUCAUAUUUUUGUUCCAUUAUUACUUUUAUUCUUUCUUUUUUGUUUGAUUUUUGCAUGUUAUGUUGUCCAUUUUUCGUUUUUAUUUUUUUCAUUUUUUUAUUUGGAAAAAAAUAAAUAAAAUAUAAUUAAUAGUGACAAAUGAAAAGAGAAAAAAGAAGAAAUGUUGAAAAAUAAAAAUAAAAUUGGUCAUUUUCGUGCAUUUUAUUUUAUUUGUGUGUUUCGAUUAUUCUCCUUUUUAAACAAUUGCAUAAAAGAAAAAAAAAUGAAAAUGAUUGUAGGUGAUUUUCAAAAUAGAGGUGAUUUUCUUGAGGAAAGAAUUCGAAAGUUGAUGUAUAAUGUUGAAGAAGAGCCUUCGUUGUAGGUGGGACGAGAGAGGAAACAACUUUGAAUUUUGAAACUUUACCAUCUAAAAUCAAAACAAAAUCAAUUGCAAUUUACGCAAUUUUGUAGGAAAUUAUUAUUAUUAUUAUAAUGGUAUAACAAGUUUAAUAUAAAAAAAAUAAAAAAUUUGUAGUAUAAAAAUAUUAUAAUAAAAUAAAUAAAUUUAUUUUCAAAAAUAUGAAAAUUAAUAUAAAAAUAUUAGGGAAAAAUUAUGUGUACACAUAAAAAAAUAAAAUAUAAAAUUGAUGGAUUAAAUUAUUAUUGAAAUUAUAAUCCGACUUAAAGUCAAAUUAGAAGAAUUUUAUGAAAUGUCAUAUCAAAACUAAAAUACUAAAAAAUGUGUAGAAUCAAAAGAAAAUUAUACUUUUGUUUGUGAAAUUAUGACUAUAAAGAAUAACUCAAUUCAUUUUCAACUCCAGUAAAAAUUUUGAUAAGUUGUGUAUAUGCAUGUCUUGUUUAAAUCUCAAUAUCUAUAAAAUCUAGUGAAUAAUAGUGUGGACCCCGUAUUUCGCACGAUGUGUUUCCACUCGAUGGCGUGACUCACUUUUUGUUUAUUUGUGAAAAAUUAUGAUUUUUAGAAAAGACUUGGAGUCACCACUUAUUUUUGUUUUAGUUUUUUAAGGGAAAACAAAGUAAGAAAAAAAAACCCUAAGUGUGACUUCUCAUUUGGAAAAAAUGGUCUAUGAAAAACCAAAUCUAGGUUCGAGGGGUUAUGUUACUUAUUGGGAAGGUAGGGUAAAGACCGUAGCACCCCUUUAAGUCCCUAAAAAUGAGUCUCUACUAAAUAAGGUGAGUCAAACAUGACAAUUAACUAGGAGAUCAAUGAAUACCAAAAUGAUUAUAGGUCAAAAGCAAGUUAUGAUAAUGAAUAAAUAAAAAAAGUGAGAGUGAGAGCGUACCUUGGCAGUAGGUAAUAAAGCGCUAUCAUGGAAACAAGGUUAGCUCAAGUAUAAAAUUAUUACGCGCAUAUCAAAAAUCAAGACAAAAAUCAAGCAAUAUUCGUUAAGCAUAACAUUUGACAAUCAGAAGAGAAAACUCAUAUGUGGGGUCCUCACCAAAGCCCAAUUUAUCUUGCACGAAUUAGUAUCACAAAUUCCAUUAUUUUGGAAUUAUAAAAAAUUCAUUCUUGCUUAUUUAAAAUAAAGAUAAACAAAAAAUUAUUUGAAAAUCGAAGAAAAUUUGUACAAGUGCAUACCAAAAUGAGAAUGGUAGCAGACUCAUUAAAAUCAGGAUUUUUGGCAACCUAAAACCCUAAUAAAUGAUUAAAAGUUGUAGAUAAAAAAUAUUUGAAAAUUGGAGUGGGAUUAAAACUGUUUGAGAGAAAACUAGAGUUUUGAAAUUUAUUUGAAAAUUGAAGUCUCGAAAAUUAUUUGAGAAUUGGAGUUUUGAAAAUUAAAUUUAAGAAUUGGAAUUUUAGAAAUUAAAUUUGAAAGAAAUUGGAAUUUUGAAAAUUAUUUGAGACUUGGAGUUUUGAAAAUUAAAUUUAAGAAUUGGAAUUUUGGAAAUUAAAUUUUGAAAUAAAUUGGAAUUUUGAAAAUUAUUUGAGAAUUGGAGUUUUGAAAAUUAAAUUUAGGAAUUGGAGUUUUGAAAAUUAAUUGAGAAUUGGAGUUUUGAAAAUUAGUUUUAAGAAUUGGAAUUUUGGGAAUUAAAUUUGAAAGAAAUUGGAAUUUUGAAAAUUAAAUUUAAGAAUUUGAAUUAAAUUUGAAAGAAAUUGAAAUUUUGAAAAUUAUUUGAGAAUUGAAGUUUUUAAAAUUAAAUUUAGGAAUUGGAGUUUUGGAAAUUAAAUUUAAAAGAAAUUGGAAUUUUGAAAAUUGAUUGAGAAUUGGAGUUUUGAAAAUUAGUUUUAAGAAUUGGAAUUUUGAAAAUUAAAUUUGAAAGAAAUUAAAAUUUUGAAAAUGGAAGUUUUAAAAAUUAAAUUUGAGAAUUGGAAUUUCAAAAAAUUAUUUGAAAAUAGAAAUUUGAAAAUUACAUUUAAUAAUUGGAAUUUUGAAAAAUUAUUUGAAAACAAAAGUUUUGAAAAUCGGAAUUUCGAAAAAUUAUUUGAGAAUGGAAUUCUUAAAAGAUCAAAUUUUUAACAUAAAAUGAUGGAUUAGGAGGGUGACACGUCAAACAUUGGAUAGCAGCCCUCUAGAGUGGAAUCCCAAGGUUCUCCUAAAAAAAUACCUCAAUGUCUAAAUGGCUAUAAGCAUCUGUCCAAAAAAAAAAAAAAAACAAUAGUAGAUUUUCCAUUUGUUCCGGUCACUACUAAUAUCUUAAUACUUCUUGGAAGAAUUUCCGUAGCAAAAUCCAACUUAGACAAUAUUCUUUUCACUGAUUGCAACAAGAAGGAAAGUCCAUGACUUUCCAAGGGAACUCCUAGUGAAACAACUACCAUUUCGGCAUCCUUGAGAAGCUUUGUGUCAAAGUGUCCAAGAACGGUUUUCAAAUGACCAUGCUUUUCAAACAGGAGAUCGAGCUCAAGCGAGAGCAAGCUUUGUUGCAGCUCUACCAGAUUUUCCCAACAAGAAAACAGGAAACUCUCAACCAAACCCAAAUUCACGAAAGAGAAUCAAACCAUAUGGGAAACAUCUGGAUCGGCGCGGUAGCUACAGUUUUGUAACAAAUCUCACUUGGGGUCUAGAGAUUCAUGUUACCUCAAGCUUUUUCUUGUCAGCCUCAUCAUCCCAUGGUUUCACAUCCCAGUGUACAGUCCCAUACCCAAGAAUGCAUAAACACCAGGAACAGGGAGAAAACAACAAAAACAUAGCACAAAUGAAGAAAAUAAUAUGAACCAUCAAAAGCCACACUUCAUGUCUUAGUCAGUGGAUGAAAAGGAUUUCUAAAUAUCACAAAAGAGAUAAAAAUUAGUUGGACCAAUUUUUGAACACAAAUUGGAGCAACAAAGAAGCCGUUAACUAUGAAAAAAAAAAUUCAUGAAUCACCCAAAGAUCAACAACAACAUAUCUCAAUAAUAGUGGAUGAAAGAAAAAAUUUUCACAAUGGAGAACUUACUUCAGGGAAGACGUUGGAGGUCUUUCUUCUAUAGAGCCCAAUAACCCGUGAGCUUCUUCUCUACUUCUCUCAACUCACCAUUUCACUCAUAGAAAAACGAUUCAUUAUGACCCCCCUCAAAUCUCAGCUUAUCUUUUUUCUUUUUGUUCCUUUUAAAAUCCCUCAGCUGCCACAAAAACCCAGCACCCACUUUCCAGAUUUUUCUCCCAGAAAAUCCUCUUCAGCUGCUGCCCCUUUUUCUCUCUCCUCUCAUCAUAGUUUUCUUCAUUUUUUCCUCCGAUCCCCUUAUCUUUUUAGUUUUCUACCCCCCCUCCCCAGUUCACCCUCCAAACCUGCAGCUACCCCUCAGACUACUCCCAUAUUUUUUUCUUUCAAGCUCUCAAAACCCUCACAACGCACCCGACUCUCCUUCAAUCCCCUUGCUCAGUUUUUCAUUUUUUUCAAGCUGUCACCUCCUUCGGUCCAGCUCUCCCUCUCCAAGCUUCAAUUUUUCUCCCAAAAAAAACCCGUUCUCUCCUAAUUUCAUCCUCUGCUCAAGACAGCUCACCCAUGUUCUAUUUUUCUUUCACUUCUAGUCUCAUCCUCCAUCUGUUCCAUUGUUCUUGGUUCAGUGAAGACGUCACCACUCUCAACCACCACCAUGGCGAGUUGGUGACAUCCUUUUCCAUGCGUCUCAAUCAUGCAGCUUGUCCACCUCAUGGAGAGGUCAUCCCCCACUUUUCCAAAAAAAAAAAUCUAGCUCACUCCCGAGUACCCAAUGAGGGGUCUACAAAUAGUUACAUCAAAAUGAUCAAUUCAAAAGAAUUUAAGUCUGUAUUAAAAGAGCAAAAAGAUUUAUCGUUGAAAGAAAUAUUUGAAAACACUCUGUUGCCAGUUCGAAUUACUAGCUCCAUAGGAUUGCAACCCACCAACUAUGUUAUCUGAGAUGCUUGCCAAUCUACAUGAUCACUUCCCAUUGGCAUCUUUCAUAAGGCCAUCAAGAGUGGAUAUUUUGUAAUAUACACGUGGAUACAUUUUGGGAUGUAGUUUGAUAUUUUAUAUUAUUUUGUAUUUUUGGUGUAUUGACAUUUUCAUAUUAAUGUUGGGAGGUUGGAUUAACACUUAAAAUUUUUAAAUACAUUUUUACCUAUGUUAUUCAUCAUGGAUGAAAUAAGUAUUUUUGAAAUUUUAAUUUUUAAGAUUUUACUUUAUUCCACUAAUUUAUUUUUAUCAUUUUAAUCAAUUCUAUCUUCAUAAAAAAAAAUUAUAAAUAAGCUUUAUAAGAAUUCAUUUUUAUUAUCAAAUAAUUAUUUUGUUUUCUUAACAAAAUAAAUAUUUUAUAAUUUUGAAAUAAAAUAAUAAAUACUAUGUAACAUUAUCAAACGAGUUUUUUUUUAAAUUUUUAAAAAAUAAUUAUUGAUUUUAUCAAAUAAAUAAAAUAGUAUUUUAAUCUAUGGACCCCUUACUAUUUUUCUUUCCUUUUCAUGUAUCACAUGUUUAAUUAUUUUUUAUUAAAAAUUAGUUUUUGAUAGGCAUUGCUACUAUAAUACCACUUUCUUUUCAUUAAGGAGAGGCACAAGAACCCAUUACGAUUAGACAAUGGGUCAAAUCAUGAAGUCACAUCUCACUAGUAGAUUAAAAAAAAAAACUUUUAUAACUUUGUUGUUAUCUUUUCAUUUUAAGGGUAAAAUAGGAAAAAACAAUUACGAUGCACUCUAAAAUUGCUUUUAAAUUUAUUCCAAAAUUACCCUAAAAAAUUUGCCAUGAAUGUGAGAAAAGUGGUGAUGUGAUAGAAGGAAAAAGUGAUGAAAUGAAGAGGCAUGAGGUGUUGAUUGGAGGGUGGCACUGUGGAUGACGGUCCUAUGGUGCCACACCGAGGUGAAAGUGUGGGCUAGUAGUGAUAGUGGAGAGAAAUGGAUGCAAAAAAUGGGUAUGGUGGGCAGAUGAAGAGAAAGAGAAAGAGAAAGAAAGUGUUGUGAUUUGCAACGGUUGGUGGUAUUGGAGAAAGGCAACAUUUGGUGUUACAGAAGAGAGACAACAUUGUGUCACAGGAUGCACAAAUGACCCUCCCCAUGGGCUUAUUUUGGAGGUGGGAAGCUUAUGGAAACUCCUGAAGCCAUCUACACUAAGCCAUUGGUGGGAAGAGUGUGGAAGCUUCUAAAAAAGCCUAGGGAUGUUCGCACAUCUUUACAUUAUGGUGGAAGGCAUGAGAAAAUUCCAAGACUUUCUAGAGAGUUCUAGAGGUCUCUUGUAUAUUCUUGUACGUAAGCUUGUACAUAGAAUUAUAUAGGGUGUUCUAGAAUAUUCAUGAGUUGUAAGGAACCCUCCAAGGUUCUAGAGAGUCCAUUGGUGUUUAUAAAUGAGGGUCUUAUUUGGUCAGGGCACCAAGCAAGUGAGUUUCCAAGCAUUGUAUAAACUUUCUUUGAAAUCAGUAAAACUUCCGUUCUUUAAGUGUUGCCUACUACGCCCUCUAAAGCUUUUAAGUUGGGUGCAUCUUUGCAAAGCAAACUAAGUAUCAGGACUAAUGUUGACUUAGCAAGAUCAAGGGUCUUGACUUGUCUAAGUGUCGCACAAGCUUAGGAAAAGACUAAGUUUGUGACAGUUGGCACUAGGUUGUGGAUAAGUGGUGGUGGUGAUGUGGAGAAAGUGAAGGAAACAUAGAAGAAGAAAGAAAAAGAAAUAUGGGAAAGGAAAAGGGAGAGAAAAAAAUACUACUAGGUAAGGGAAACUAUGAGCGGUGGCCAACGACGACACUAAUAGAUAAUGUUAUCAAUGGUGCCGAUAGAUUCGGUGGAAGCGGUAGAUUCAGUGGGAAGUGAGAGGCGACAGUGAAUUGAACUUUGGUGGCAAAUCAUACACGACUACCCUCCUCCCAUCGCAAUCACCAUCAUUCUCAUUUUUCGCUUAGGAUCAAUGUGCCCUCUCUAAGCAACAUUGACAACCCCCCUCCCUCCCCUAUCUUUUUCAUUUCUAAUGUUGUUUUCUACAAUUGGAACUAGGUUUUCAAAAACAUCGACUAUCUCUGGAGGAGUAGUACUAGUACUGUGAAUGAUUGAAAUUGUGAUUUCAAAAUUAGGUUGGGUUCCAACAUAGAGGUAAUAGAGGUUGUUAAGCCUUCAGGAAGACGUGCACAAGUGAACAAUGUUCCUAGAGAUUAUAGUGGUGGAAGAAUACCAUAAAAAGAUAAGAAAAGAAAAGGGAAAAGGACUCUUUCUCAUGCCACCUACCCAUUCUCAGUGUUGACACAUUUUUCUAGCUGGCACCAUUCCCUCCAAUCGUCACCUACCCAUCAUCACCACCAUCCCUUACUUUCAUGGUAAUUUUUUUAAGAUAAUCUUGGAACAAAUUCAAAAACAUUGUUAGAGCGCAUGAAUUAAGAAUUUUUUUUUUCUCAACUUUAUACUUAAAAUGAAAAGAUAAAAGCAAAAUUCCAAAAACCUUAUAGCUUGUUUAACCAUAUAACUUAAAAACGGUUAUCUAAUUUUAAAAAUAGAAAACUGUUUUUUAACACUUUCAAUUGUGGUUGGUCAUUAUUCUAAAAAAAAAUAAUAAUAAUUUAAAACUAGAUUGAAAAAAAAAUCAGGAAACAAUCUCAUUGAUUUAAAUUAUUAUUUAAUUACUUGCACAAUCGUAUGAUUAUUAUUAUGUUUUUGUUAUAUUAUAUUAACAAGUGAAUACUAUGUUGUUGAUUCUAGAUAUCCUUGUAUUAUGGGUUUUCUUCCUCCAUAUUGAGGUGAAAGGUAUUAUUUGUAAUAUUAUCUUAGCAAAAGUUGUCAACCAAAGACUGAUAAAGAAUUGUUCAAUUAUUGACCUUCCUCAUUUAUAAAUAUAAUUGAGUAUUAUUUGUGUUUUAAAAGCACGUUUUUCAAUUUUAAAAAUGAUGUCAUCUUACAAACCAAGUAGACAACUAUAAAUAGUUGUAGCUUGUUGUACUCUUUAUAAUUUCAUUCGUAAAUAGACUUAAAAUGAUGUUAUAUUUAGACAAUGGGAAGAAGAACUUGAAUUUGAAGAUAAGGACGAUACUACAAUUGAAGUAAGUUAUGCAAUGAAUUUAUUAGAUGAAGCAGCAACGAUUAUGACAACUUAUCAAGAUCGUAUUUCAUAGUAGAAAUGGAAUGCUUAUGUUAAUAGUUUGUAAACAUUAGUCAUUAAAUAGUUAUAUUAAUAUACGAAGCAAGAAUGUGAAAUAUGAAAAUUGUUUAACUAUUAUAAUUGACUUGAAGUGUUUGUGUGUACUUGGUUUGCAAUUAUUUUUGUUAGGUGCUUUCAAUUUAAAUUUUUUUUUUGUUUUUCCCAUUAAAAAAAUCAAUCCAACUAUUUAUUUUACUCUCUUUAAAAAAAUGAAUAUUAAAAUUAUUUUUAAUCUUAUAGUAAUUUUUGUUUCAUUUGAAUAAAAAAAUUGUUUAAUAAUUAAAACAAUUAUUUAUCUAUAAUUUAUAUAAUUUGAAUUUUAUUUAUUUAUUUUUAGUGAGAUUUAACUUGAAUGUGAUUUAUAUUAAUGUAAAUUAAAUUUUAAAAAUAAAAAUACAAAAAUUGUUUUUAAAAACAAAGACGAUUCUUUUAUACAAACAAGUUUUUGUUUUUUAAAAACUAUUUUUGAAAGUAAUUGGCCAAACAAUUUUUCUUUGUAAAAAAUACAAAAAAAACCAUUUUUUAUUCUUUAUCUUAAAAAUAAUUUUUAAAAUUAAAAAACACGAUCAAACACCUUAUUUUGUUUUUAUUUUUGGUGUAUGAUUGCAUAAUUUUUUCAUUUUUUAAAAUUGAAUUUCAAGCAAGCUCAUAAUUAUAUAAUUAAAAAACUUGUUUGAUAGUAAUUUUAAGAAGCAAUUCUAAUAUUUUUAACACUUAAAAAAUGAAAAAAGAAUUAUUUUUCAAGUAUACAACGAAGAAAUACUUGUUAGGAUCACUGCUACACAUUCUCUAUGUAGACAUAUCCCACUUCUAACUCUUCAACUUCUGAACUCUUUUGAUGAAAUCCACACUCAAACCACUCACAAGCUCCAAAUUCAAGUCCCAAAUGCAGCCACUGCUUCAACCAGGUUUUGGAGUCAAAAUAAGAGACGUAGUGAUGAAUUCCAGAUAGUCCAUAUCUUAAAGUGAGAAAAUAUCCAAAAAAGAAUUUGUUGUGUUGAGAGGGAUUGCUUGAGAAAUUCAGGAUUAGGGAAUUAUUUUAUCUCAGUGUGGUUUAGAAUUCCAGUUUGGCAAAUUCAGGAUUCAGGACUGGCUUUGGGUUCAAAAUGAUUUGGGGUUUCUACUCAGAAACAUCCAAAAAUUGAACUAUUUGACAAAUUUGGGGUGUGGGAGCUGUUCCUUUGUUUGUGGGAUAUUUGUGCAUGAUUAUGGAACUGCUGAACUGUGUUACAUAAAUUCAAAUUUUAUUUGCUUGAUGGGGAAUUGGUCUGGGAAAAGAUAGCUGAAGAAUAAAGGGAUUGAUGUCAUGGGAUAAGGUUUUGUUGGGUGGACUUGUUUUCCAUGUUUUUUCUCCUCUAAAGGUUAGGGGUGAAAAAUUGUAUUAAAUUCAUUUUUUUGUGCAGAUUUUAUGAUUUUAAUGUUGUUGUUUUCCCUUUUGAAUAAGGAAUAUAAAAACAUUUAUGGAAUUUGAUUUCUUCCAAAAUUAGAUGAGUUAUGAAACCAAAAUAGUGGUUGCAUGUGGUUGAAUCUCGGUUUUUAUUUUAUAAUUUGUCAUCCAAAUCAAGCAAUUCUUAUAUUUUUAGUUUUGAAAAUGAAUUCCAAAAGCAUGGGCUAAUUUAUACCUUAUGUAUAUGAGUUUCACUUUGUAUAUACUUUUUGUUUUUAAAAACAAAAAGUAGGAAGUGUAUCCAAACACUUAUUUUUACUUAAGUUAUAAAGUAAGGAGGUGGAUUUAUUUUAUAAGUUGCUUUUGGUGUCAAAGAAAUUAUUCUUAACAUAAUUAUUAAAAAAAAAAAGAUAUCAAUUAUAUUUGAUUGGUAUUAUCAAUUAUGCUUUGCGGGACCAAGCAUGCCCCAUCUUCUUUGGGCCUCCCACUACUUUAAUCCUACACAGAUGACACAUUUUUAUUAAGAUCCAGAUCCUAUUAUCAUGGACUGGGCAAUGGAGGCUCAGAUCCGGCCGUAAUCAGACGAGCUGUUGGGACGCCAUGGCUGCAACUACCGGGUUGCCCCGCCAAGAAACGAGCCCUUCAUAAUCUCUGAUUUACUUGGAAAGUAUCAUCAUAGCCCCUCGAUUUUCUCAUUGGGAACCAAACAGAUCCAGGACCCUUUGAAGGACCCUAAAUACAUCCAACCAAACAAUAAUAAAUAAAUAAAUAAAUAAAGAUGGACAUCACGGGUCCAGGGAGGGCUCAGAUCCGCCCGUAAUCAGACAAGAUCCAUGUUCGCCAUGGCUGCAACUACAGUUGCAUGUGAAAAAACAGGGCAUAGAAACCCAUUUCACAGACAAUCCGGGUCGCCCAGCCAAGAGAUGGAUCCUUUCAAAUGUCUGAUUUACUUGGAAAGUGUCAUCACAGCCACUUAAUUUUCCUGCACAUUUUCUCAGCAACCAAACAGAUACAAGAUCCUUCUCAGAAAACACAUUUUAAAACACAAACAAAAAAACCAAAACAAAACAAAGAUCAGCCUCAGCGCGGAAGUGAAUAGCGCGUAAAAGGAAGGCUCAGAUUCGCCUUUUAUCAGACAAGAAAAAGAUGACCGUCAUGGCUGCAACCACAGUUGCUUGUGAAACAAGGCACAAAAGGUCCCAUCGCACAAACCAUCCGGGUUGCCCCGCCAAGAAACGGACAUUCCCAGUUCCUGACUUACUCUGAAAACGUCAUCACAGCCUUUUAUGUUGCCCAUAUGAACAGAGAGAUACCCCUAAAACAGAUCCAGAAAACACAGGGAGCCAAAAAAAAAAAGCAAUUUUUUUGGUUUUCCUUGGGGGUUUUGCGUGGAUUUUCUCGGAAAUCAAACGAGGAUGAAUUUUCCCGGAAAUCGAAUGGGGGAUGGAUUUUCUUGGGAAUCAAACGGGGGUUGCAAAAAAAUAAUAAUAAUAAUAACAUGAUUAGAUUAGUACCUGCGAGGAUUGAGAGUGGGAGAGGAAAAUAGGGCCUUUUUAGGGAUUCUCUCGUCUGGAGGGCAACUUCAGAAAAGGGCUUCUAGUUCUUGAUGCCCGAGUGGGAGAAGCGGAUGAUGGCCCUUUCGAUUUUUAUAUUUAGUGGAGAGAGAAAACAAGGGAAACAAAUCAUGAAAACAAUUUUCCUCUCUAUAUAAAUAAUUAUUAAUCAUCCAUCUUUAUUUUGAUUAAAUUACUACCAAAAUUUCGAUUUUUAUCAGUAAUAUUUUAUAAAUUAAAAUUCAUUUGAUAAAAUAAAUUAUUAAUAAAUUUAUUUAUUUAAAUAAAUUAAUAUUAAUAAAAAAAAGUUAUUACCAUGUAUUUUUAAUAAAAUCUUAAAAAUUAAAUAUCAAAUAAAAUAUUUUAUAUAAAUUAAUUUAAUUUUUCAUUUAAAAUAUAAUAAAACAUGUUUCAAUAAAAAUAUUUAAAAUUUUUUUAAAUAAAUAUUAUCUUCAAUAAGAUAAGUUUCUUUCAUUUAACAAUAUGAUGGACCCACAUCGAUCUUCAUUUUGAUACUAAAAACUAUUGCAAUCUCAUAUAUAUUAUACUUAUGUAUAAAUUGUUUUUAUUCAAUAAAAUCAAAUAUUUUUUAACUCAAUUCUAACUUUAUACACUUUCAAAAUUCAUAUUUAUUAUUCUUAAAAUUUAAAUAUCCAAUUUAUCAAUAUGUCUCUAUCUACCGAUGUUUUUCUUCUUGAUCAUAUUUAAGUCAAUUACACUUAUAAAACAACUUAAAAAUGUGUAUUCUUGUUUAUUUUAUCAUUUUUUGAAGUUUUUCCAAAUAUCCCUAUGACUUCUACAUAAUUUUCGUUCCACCGGCAUUUUCAUACUUACCCUGUAUCUAUAAAAAAUAAAUGAAAACAAUUUUAGGUUAGGAGUUAUAAGGACAACUAGUAUUCAUGCAGAAAAUCAGCAUCAGAAUUCGUAACUGCAUUUGAUCAGCUAGUUUAGGAAAUCUGUACAGCUCAUUCUUUCCUUUAUUUUCACAUAUGUUGUUAUACGUUAGCACAAGUUUAGGAGUAAUUUUAGUUUCUCAAAUCUGUAUUUAUACCUCUUCUUCUAAUAAGAAUUGUGUGAAUCAUUUUGUCUAAACCUCUAUAUGGUAUCAGAGCCCACCUCAAAACUCCAACGAGUAUUUCCUGUCUUUCUCACUUCUGCUAUGGCCACUUCUUCCUUUGAUAGUUUUCCAAUAGCCAUCAAUGCCACCCAGCAAAUUAUUGCACGUCUCACACCAACCAACUUCCCUUCAUGGCAUGCCCAAUUUGAGUCUCUCCUCCUCGGCUAUAACCUCUUUGGCUAUGUCGAUGGCACUCAUACCUGCCCACCCCUACCGACGUCAACUGAUGCAGCUGCCACUACCGCUCAUCACCUUUGGUUCCGUCAGGACAAACUUAUUCUAAGUGCAAUUCUGACUUCAGUGUCCCCAGCUGUGAUACCACUCAUAGCAACCUCCCAGACGUCAUAUCAAGCCUGGACUAAAUUGACAAAACUGUAUGCUAGUCGAUCCAGGACUCGUGUCAUGCAGCUCAAAGAGGAUCUCACCCUCAUGCAACGUGGCAAUCGCAACAUUACAGAGUACCUACACUCUGUAAAAACCAUUGCCGAUGAGCUUGCUCUCAUCGAUGCCCCAUUAUCUCAAGAUGACAUCACCCUAUAUGUUCUUCAUGGCUUAGGAUCAGAUUUUCGUGACAUUGUUGCCCCGAUUCGAGCCUGAGAGUCUUCACUCUCAUUUGAAGAAUUACAUGAUCUGCUACUUGGUCAUGAGGCAUAUCUUCGAAGGCUUGACUCCACUGCUCAAUCCUUGGUAGUUACUGCCAAUACCACUCAACGCAGGGACUCACGCUCCUCAAAGAAUCAGUCUUUAUCAACUUAUCAACAAUCCAAGAAUGACUCCAGAUCAAAGUCUCGACAGUCGAAACAAUACAAAUACCCUCCAAGGUGUCAAUAUUGUGAUCAACAAGGCCACAUUGCAAAAUACUGUCCGAAAUUGAAACCCUCUGAAGCCACUGUGAACUGCACAACUACUACUUCUAGUCUAGACAAACGUUGGCUCAUUGAUUCUGCGGCUUCCCAUAAUAUCACUUCUCAGGUUUCAAAUUUACAAUUUCACUCUGAAUAUGAUGGUACUGAUGAAGUUAUUAUUGGAGAUGGAUCAGGUUUGCCCAUUACUCAUUCCGGUUCUCUUACUCUUUCAUUUCCAAACAGAAAAUUUCAAGUUGAAGAUACUCUAUGUGUUCCUACCAUUAACAAAAACUUGAUAUUUGUUCACCACUUCACAAAGCAAAACAAUGUUAUCCUGGAAUUUCACCCAACUUAUUUUCUUGUGAAGGAUCGGAGAACGGGGGAGAUUCUUCUUCAAGGACCGUGUGAAAAUGAAGUCUACCCUCUACCCUCAUCGCCUGCUGCUACUCCAAUUGCUUUUGUCCAUGAACGCACAUCAGUAGCUGGUUGGCAUCAGCGCCUUGGUCAUCCAUCCUUCAAAGUUGUCACUCGCCUCAUUAGUUCUUUCUCCCUUCCCACCACUUCAUAUCUUUCUAGUUCUAAUAAUUGUCAUUCGUGUUCUACCAAUAAAGCUCAUUAGUUACCCUUUCAUAAACACGGUCUAACUAGCACAACACCAUUUGAUUUACUUUACACUGAUGUAUGGGGACCUUCUCCCACUCCUAGUCUCAAUGGCCACAGAUAUUAUGUUAUUUUUGUUGAUCACUUUACCAAAUAUGUGUGGUUCUUUCCAUUGCAUCAAAAAUCAGAUGUUAAAACCAUAUUUCCUCAUUUCUACAAAAUGAUUGAAACUCGUUUUAACAUAAAAAUUAAAGGAGUUUAUUCCAAUAAUGGAGGAGAGUUCACUGUUCUUUGACCCUUUUUCACAACCCAUGGCAUUAGUCAUUAUACAACAACCCCUUAUACACCCCAACAAAAUGGAGUGUCUGAGCGUCGUCAUCGCCAUAUUGUGGAGACAGGUCAAACCCUUCUAAGUCAUGCCUCUCUUCCAUCAGAAUAUUGGGCUUAUGCUUUUGCAACAGCCACAUAUCUAAUCAAUCGACUUCCAUCACCUGUUCUUCAUCAUAAAUCACCUCUUCAAGCUCUCUUCAAGCAACAACCUCGGUAUGAAAAAUUACGUUCCUUUGGAUGUUUCUGCUUUCCCUUGAUGAAGUCGUAUAACACAAACAAAUUUCAAAAGAAAUCUGUUCCUUGUAUCUUUGUUGGCUACUCUACUAGCCAAAGUGCAUAUCUAUGUCUUCAUCUACAAAGUCAACGCAUAUACACCUCCAAACACGUAACCUUUGAUGAAUCUGUUUACCCCUUCAAACAGGUUUCCAUGCCAUCACCCACUGACUCAUCCCCACCAGAAACCUCUUCUUUUCAGGACCAAUUUUGCAGCUUGCUUCCAGGGAGCUUCCAGCAAUCACACGGGCUCAAGGAGAUAUCCCCUCUGCUUCUUCGACUCCAAGUGAAGAUCCAGCUCUUGUGCAACCUCAAGAGGCACCACUCUCCACUUCAGAUCAGGUACCUCUUAGACCUUCUACUUCUGUUUCUCAACCAGAAAAUUCAAUACCAUCCUCUCCACCACCAUGUCCACGAACCAUCAUCACUCGCUCCAUGAACAAUAUCUUUCGGCCAAAACAACUCCACACUACCACCAAGCACCCCUUACCUGAACCACCCGAACCAAGUUGUGUAAGUCAAGCUCUUAAAGAUCCUCACUGGCGCAAGGCUAUGUCAGAAGAAGUGACAACCCUCCUUCAACAUGGGACGUGGGAACUGGUUCCUCCCACUCCUGGCCAGAAUCUUGUUGGGUGUAAAUUUGUGUUUCGGAAGAAACGAAAUCCCGAUGGAACAAUCAGUCGAUAUAAAGCUCGACUUGUCGCUAAAGGAUUUCAUCAACGGCCAGGUAUUGACUACUCUCAAACCUACAGCCCCGUCGUAAAGCCAGCAACAAUUAGGCUUCUUUUAACCAUUGCUGUCAUGCAUGGCUGGCCCCUUCGUCAGUUAGACAUCAAUAAUGCAUUCUUGCAUGGUAAUCUUGAAGAAACAGUCUUCAUGCAUCAACCUCCAGGAUUUGAAGAUCCAUCUCAACCUCAGCAUGUUUGCAAGCUAAAAAAGAGUAUCUAUGGUCUUAAACAAGCCCCACGACAAUGGUAUAAGGCCCUUCGGGAUGCACUCCUCAGCUUUGGUUUUAUUCACUCGGCCACUGACAACUCUUUGUUCAUCUAUAAGUCUCAUGAUAUCUUGUGCUACUGCCUUGUUUAUGUUGAUGACAUAAUUGUCACAAGCAACACACUCAGCUUUGUGAAUAACAUUAUCAACAAGCUUGGCUCUACAUUCUCAGUCAAAGAUAUGGGCUCCUUGCAUUAUUUCUUGGGAAUAGAAGUGAUUCCAACGCCACAGGGGCUCUUUCUAUCUCAACAUCAGUAUAUACGGGAUCUCCUUUCACGAACCUCCAUGGAAAAUGCUAAAGAAACACUCACUCCAAUGUCCACUACAACCAAGCUUACAGUUCAAGAUAAUUCUGAAUGUGUUGACAGCACUGAGUAUCGCAAGAUCAUUGGAGCACUUCAGUAUUUGGGACUCACUCGUCCCGAUAUUGCCUUUGCAGUCAACAGAUUAUCUCAGUUCAUGCAGAAGCCGACAACAAACCAUUGGGCCGCAGCAAAAAGACUACUCAGAUAUCUUAAACAGACCAUGUUUCAUGGUAUCCUUCUCCAAAAGCAUGAUCAAUUCCAACUCAAGACCUAUAGUGAUGCGGACUGGGCAUCAAAUACGGACACUCGUGUUUCAACCACUGCUUUCAUCACAUUCAUUGGUCCUAAUCCAAUCUCAUGGUCUGCACGCAAGAAAAGGGCAGUCUCAAGAUCAUCUACAGAAGUAGAGUUUCGGGCACUAGCUACUGCCACAUCAGAAACAAUUUGGCUUCAUUCUCUUAUCAAGGAACUUGGUCUCACUCUCAUAGAAGCACCUCAAAUGUUUUGUGAUAAUAUUGGCGCCAACCAUUUCAGUUUAAAUCCAGUCCAGCACACACGGAUGAAACACAUUGAAAUUGAUCUCCUCUUUGUACGAGAUCUUGUCCAAAAGGGAACUAUUCGUGUUCAGCACAUCCAUACCAUUGAUCAACUAGCUGAUCUCCUUACAAAAUCACUCUCACGUCAACGCUUUCAACUAUUAAGAUCCAAGAUUGGUGUUGCAGAUGGCACCUCCAUCUUGAGAGGGCAUAUAAGGACAGCUAGUAUUCAUGCAGAAAAUCAGCAUCAGAAUUCGUAACUGCAUUUGAUCAGCUAGUUUAGGAAAUCUGUACAGCUCAUUCUUUCCUUUAUUUUCACAUAUGUUGUUAUACGUUAGCACAAGUUUAGGAGUAAUUUUAGUUUCUCAAAUCUGUAUUUAUACCUCUUCUUCUAAUAAGAAUUGUGUGAAUCAUUUUGUCUAAACCUCUAUAGGGGUGGACUUGUUUUCCAUGUUUUUUCUCCUCUAAAGGUUAGGGGUGAAAGCAACUUAUAGCUGAUGGUUGUUUUCAGAAAUAAGCUGAUCAUAUCAUAGCUGACCGAUUUCUUCUUUGGUCAUCUUGAAGCAAUUUUAAUAUUUAUUUUUCAGUCAGCUACCUUCUAUCUCUUCUUAGCUAUCUAAAAAUCCUCACUCAUCGGCCUCCCAAUAUCAAUGAAAUGGUGCCCAAAAUCUGAAGUGGCUUGAAUUCAGUUCAGGUCUAAAUAGUGGUUUCUGAAUGUUGUUAAGUGGUUUAUUUUUACAUGGCAAAACAUCUAAAAUUAGUAAUAAGAUUUAAUUAUUAUCUUUCUUCUUAUAAUUAACAAUAUUUUCAAAUAUCUCAAAAUGCCAAAAUAUAUUCCUUCUUAUUUUAUAAAAUUGGAAUUAGAUAUUUGAAAAGUAAUAAUUUGAAAAAAUAAUAAUAAUUUAAAAUAUUUCCAAAUAACAAAAAUACGAAAAUUGACUACAUUACAAUGAUGGUAAUUAAUAUGUAAUUAAUUAUGAUAGAAGUUAGUGUUUCUAAUUAUAUUUGGCUAUUAAGAAAAUGUUAGAAAUUCUCUAGGUUGAGUUUCCUUAAUUUUUCUCUCUUUUUUUCUAGUGGAUGUUUAGAUAAAUGUGAGUUAUGUUUUGGAGUUUUAAUUGGAGAAAUUCUGUGAUGAUGUUUUAUGUCAGUUUUGUUGCAUUCUGAGGUGUUGAACUUUGAAAAAUUGUAUUAAAUUCAGUUUUUGUGCAGAUUUUAUGAUUUUAAUGUUGUUGUUUUCCCUUUUGAAUAAGGAAUAUAAAAACAUUUACGGAGUUUAAUUUCUUCAAAAAUUAGAUGAGUUAUGAAACCAAAAUAGCAGUUGCAUGUGGUUGAAUCUCGGUUUUUAUUUUAGAACUUUUUGGAUUUAUUUUAUAAUUUGUCAUCCAAAUUAAGCAAUUCUUAUAAUUUUAGUUUUGAAAAUGAAUUUCAAAAGCAUAGGCUAAUUUAUACUUUAUGUAUAUGAGUUUCACUUUGUAUAUACUUUCUGUUUUUAAAAACAAAAAGUAGGAAGUUAUAAAGUAAGGGGGUGGAUUUAUUUUAUAAGUUGAUUUUGGUGUCAAAGAAAUUAUUCUUAACAUAAUUUUUAAAAAAUAAAAAAUAAAUUAUAUUUGAUUGGUAUUAUAAAUUAUGCUUUGUGGACCAAGCAUGACUCAUCUUAUUUGGGCCUCCCACUACUUUAAUCCUACACAGAUGACACAUUUUUAUUAAGAUCCAGAUCCUAUUAUCAUGGACUGGGCAAUGGAGGCUCAGAUCCGGCCGUAAUCAGACAAGUUGCUGGGACGCCAUGGCUGCAACUACGGUUGCCUGUAAAAUGAAACCCAUUUCACAGAUCACCCGGGUUGCCCCGCCAAGAAACGAGCCCUUCAUAAUCUCUGAUUUACUUGGAAAGUAUCAUCAUAGCCCCUCGAUUUAUUUACUUGGAAACAGAUCGAGGACCCUUUGAAGGACCCUAAAUACAUCCAACCAAACAAUAAUAAAUAAAUAAAUAAAGAUGGACAUCACGGGUCCAGGGAGGGCUCAGAUCCGCCCGUAAUCAGACAAGAUCCGUUUUCGCCAUGGCUGCAACUACAGUUGCAUGUGAAAAAAAAGGGCAUAGAAACCCAUUUCACAGACAAUCCGGGUCGCCCAGCCAAGAGAUGGGUCCUUUCAAAAUGUCUGAUUUACUUGGAAAGUGUCAUCACAGCCACUUAAUUUUCCUGCACAUUUUCUCAGCAACCAAACAGAUACAAGAUCCUUCUCAGAAAACACAUUUUAAAACACAAACAAAAAAACCAAAACAAAACAAAACAAAGACCAGCCUCACCUCAGCGCGGAAGUGAAUAGCGCGUAAAAGGAAGGCUCAGAUUCGCCUUUUAUCAGACAAGAAAAAGAUGACCGUCAUGGCUGCAACCACAGUUGCUUGUGAAACAAGGCACAAAAGGUCCCAUCGCUUAAGCCAUCCGGGUUGCCCCGCCAAGAAACGGACAUUCCCAGGGCCUGACUUACUCUGAAAACGUCAUCACAGCCUUUUAUGUUGCCCAUAUGAACAGAGAGAGAGUGAGCGCUGUUGAUAGCCUCUGAUGUAUAUGUAUAUAUAUAUAUAUAUGUAAAAGAGCGAAGGAAAAGGAGCGUAGUAGAAGGAAUCAUCGGCUCCGACGACCAUGAGAGUGGCAGAGGAAAAUAGGGCCUUUUUAGGGAUUCUCUCGUCUGGAGGGCAACUUCAGAAAAGGGCUUCUUGAUGCCUUAGUGAGAGAAGUGGAUGGCCCUUUCGAUUUUUAGAUUUAGUAGAGAGAGAAAACAAGGUUAACAAAUCAUGAGAACAAUUUUCCUCUCUUUAUAUAAAUAAUUAUUAAUUAUCCAUCUUUAUUUUGAUUAAAUCACUACCGAAAUUUCGAUUUUUAUUUUGAAGGACCCUAAAUACAUCCAACCAAACAAUAAUAAAUAAAUAAAGAUGGACAUCACGGGUCCAGGGAGGGCUCAGAUCCGCCCGUAAUCAGACAAGAUCCAUGUUCGCCAUGGCUGCAACUACAGUUGCAUGUGAAAAAAGGGCAUAGAAACCCAUUUCACAGACAAUCCGGGUCGCCCAGCCAAGGACAGGUCCUUUCAAAAUGUCUGAUUUACUUGGAAAGUGUCAUCACAGCCACUUAAUUUUCCUGCACAUUUUCUCAGCAACCGAACAGAUACAAGAUCCUUCUCAGAAAACACAUUUUAAAACACAAACAAAAAAACCAAAACAAAACAAAGACCAACCUCAGCGCGGAAGUGAAUAGCGCGUAAAAUGAAGGCUCAGAUUCGCCUUUUAUCAGACAAGAAAAAGAUGACCGUCAUGGCUGCAACCACAGUUGCUUGUGAAACAAGGCACAAAAGGUCCCAUCGCACAAACCAUCCGGGUUGCCCUGCCAAGAAACGGACAUUCCCAGUGCCUGACUUACUCUGAAAACGUCAUCACAGCCUUUUAUGUUGCCCAUAUGAACAGAGAGAGAGAGAGAGAGCUGUUGAUUUUCCAGAGAAUCAAGACAGCCUCUGAUAUAUAUGUACACACAUGUGUAUGAAAAGAAAGAAAAGAAAAGAAAGAGCGAAGGAAAAGGGCUGUUGAUGGGCGUCGUAGAAGUAAUCAUCGGCUCCGAAGACCAUGAGAUUCAGAGAGGGGCAACCACCCUUAGAAACUCCCCAUCCCUCCGACACGGUCCCUGGAGCCUCAGUCUUAAACUAAUGAGGUCUAGCCCUAACUUUUACUCAUCCUUUCCCUUUUAUACUACUCCCUGUCUUCUUCUUCUUUGCUUUUAUUUUACUUUUUUGACCUUUCUACCCUCACUAAACCCGGUAUCAAGGAUUGAAAUGUCGAAUUUCGGGAAAUUUCCCGAUAUUUCCUACCAGUCCAGCCCGCGCACAGGAUACAAAAUCUGUCCAUUUUUUAAAAAAAAAACACAAGAUGUUAUUUGGUAAUCUGAUCAUGAUUUGCAGGCAAAGGUUGUGUUUUUCAGCCUGGCUCAAAAAUCGUGGAUUUAGGGUUCGUGAAAUUUAAAUCCAAUGGCACAAAAGCAAAGAGACCCCUAGAACAGAUCCAGAAAACACAGGGAGCAAAAAAAAAAGCAAUUUUUUUGGUUUUCCUUGGGGGUUUUGCGUGGAUUUUCUCGGAAAUCAAACGAGGAUGAAUUUUCCCGGAAAUCGAAUGGGGGAUGGAUUUUCUUGGGAAUCAAACGGGGGUUGCAAAAAAAAAAAUAACAUGAUUAGAUUAGUACCUGCGAGGAUUGAGAGUGGCAGAGGAAAAUAGGGCCUUUUUAGGGAUUCCCUCGUCUGGAGGGCAACUUCAGAACAGGGCUUCUUGAUGCCCCAGUGAGAGGAGUGGAUGGCCCUUUCCAUUUUUAUAUUUAGUAGGGAGAGAAAACAAGGAAACAAAUCAUGAGAACAAUUUUCCUCUCCUAUAUAAAUAAUUAUUAAUUAUCCAUCUUUAUUUCGAUUAAACCACUACCAAAAUUUCGAUUUUUAUCAGUAAUAUUUUAUAAAUUAAAAUUAAUUUAAUAAGAUAAAUUAUUAAUAAUUUUAAUUAUUUAAAUAAAUUAAUGUUAAUAAAAAAUUUAUUACCACAUAUAUAUAAAAUAAAAUCUUAGAAAUUAAAUAUCAAAUAAAGUAUUUAUAUAAAUUAAUUUAAUUUUUCAUAUAAAAUGUAAUAAAAAUUUAUAAAUAAAUAUUGUCUUCAAUAAGAUGAUUCAUUAGAUGAAACCAUAUCAAUCUUCAUUUUGAUACUAAAGACUAUUACAAUAUCAUAUGUAUUAUAUUUAUGUAUAAAUUGUUUUUACUCAAUAAAAUCAAAUAUUUUUUAAUUCAAUUUUAAUUUUAUACAUUUUCAAAAUUCAUAUUUAUUAUUCUUAAAAUUCAAAUAAAUCUACUGAUGUUUUUCUUCUUGAUCAUAUCUAUAUCAAUUAUAUUUAUAAAAUAACUCUAAAAUAUGUAUUUUUACUUAUUUUAUCAUUUUUUUUAUAAUUUUCUAAAUAUUCCUAUAAAUUUUAAAUAAUUUUCGUUCCACCAAUAUUUUCAUUCUAAUCUUGUAUCUAUCGAAAAUAAAUGAAAGACAAUUUUUUACAACAAAAUUUUUUAUGAUUUUUAAAUCAAAAGUUAGUUUUAAAAUCUCAAAUAUUUUUAAUCCACUAUUAUGUUUUUAAAAUUAUAUAAUUAUUUUUUAAAAUAAUAAAAACAAAUAAAAAUAAUUAAGAUUAUGUUUAGUUUGUUAAAAAAAAAUAUUUUAUCAAAUUUGAUUUAAUAGUGAAAAUAAAAAUAAAAUAAUAAUUAAAAUUACUUAAAAACCAAUGUAACUUAAAUUUUUUUUUUUUUUGAUCUUUAGCUUAAAAAAAAAAAAUAAAUAAAAUGAAUUUGAAAAGAUAAUUAAUCUCUCUAAAAGGAAGAGACUCAAAAUUAUCGGAGGAAGAAAAAAAGGGAGUAAGAUUUGAAGGAUAAAAAUAAAGAAGGAACAAGUGGGUGGGUAUUGCAUUAUAUCCAUGAGUUGAUCAAUAACUAGCUCCAUUUCCUUUCCUUUAUUUUCUUGCCAGCCAAACAAAAUCUCAAGCCUGGAACCAUCAUCCCAGCAACCAUUUAUUAAAAGCCAUACACCAAGGAUUCGUAUAACACCAUGGAAUCAACCAUCAUCACCCUCUCAAACCUACAUGCCAAAGCUACACAGACUACUCCCAAGUUCCCAAAUAACCAAGCUUCAUAUCUACUAGCUCCAAAACGGUUAAACAAGAUGAAAGAAGGAAAGGAAGAGAUUACUUGAUGAGAGCCUGGUAAAGGCAGAUCUGCAAAAAUUACAAGCCUUGUCCACAUAGCUUUAUUUAUAGCCCCAUGAAAGCAGAAUUACUUCUUCAUUACCAAAUGUCAGUAUAGGCAAUGCCAGACCUCCAUCUUCCCAUGGCUGCCAAGCCCUUUUAUCAAUAUGUGAAGAUGCAAACCAAAAUGGUUAGCCCAUCAUCCAAAGCUAGCUCCUCCUCCUCCUCCUCCUUAUUUACACCUAACAGUUUCCCUGAUUCACAACAAGUUCAAUUUCCUUGCUUAACAUCUUUCAGAUAGAACAGAACAAUUACGAUUACAAUCACAAAAUGUAACACCACCCCACAUCUUCCUCUGUUUAGCUAAGCAUUACAAGACCUCAAAGUUGAUGUUCCAUCAUCAUAAUAGGCAUGGUGUAUUUCCAGUCUCAAACAAGUUAGGUUCCAUCCUAACACCAUAAUGGUGGGUUGUUUUACAUCAGACAACGAAUCUGAGUCAGUUAACAGGCAAAAAGAAACAUUCAAUAGUUCAAGAAGAUGGCUUAGAAUUUUCUGAAAACCUCAAAACUGUUUUCAUUUAUAAUUACAAACCAACCCAAAAGUUGAACAAUAUGAGGCACUGGGCUGAACAAUCACCUCAGAACUCUGGUAAAAAGAAUGAAGGUUUCUAUAGAUAAAAUGGCCUUUGCAAAUAAAGCAAUGAGAAAAACGGGAUAUAAAUUAAGGAAUAAUAGAAUGAAAAUGUUGAAAGGAAUUUCACAUGGCUUCGAAGAAUGAAUAGAUUCCGUACCCUUGCCGAGAAAUUACAUGGCUGCCUUGCCCCUCUGUUGAAGUACUAUAUCAUGCACAACUUCCCCUGCUGAGUUAACAAAGUAGGUUUCCUGCCAUGGAAAAAGAACAUUUGUUGGUGCUUCAACAAGAACAAAUUUAGUCAAAAAAGACAAAUACUCACAAUCUCUAAGGAGCUGACUCUAUGAAGAAGGAACCCAUUAACCAUUCCCCUGAGGAAACAAAGAAAAAAAUCACACAAACUUCAUAGUUUCAUAUGUAUGAACCAAUGUAGAACACCAUGAAGAACUAUGAACAGAAAUACUCACUUACUAAAACCUGAUAUUCCAUUUACAGAAGCAAGAGGAAGUUUUUCAUCUAUUGAACCUGGGUUCCUGAUGUAAGCUAUACUAUCUUUACGAGCAUAGUCACUACAUCCCUCCCCACUCAGGUACACAUCCUGGUGAGCAAAUGCAUGGAUAAAGCGUUACUUUCUUCAUAGGCACCAGAAAGAUUCCAAAUUUAACAUAUCAGAAAGUUGUUCAUUCAAUUCAUUAGGAACUGUCUUAGAUUUUCAUAUAUAUUGAAAAUUUGGACUUUGAUCAUCUCAAAAGCAAGUUCUCUAAAGAACCCAAAAUCAAAACCUUGGGCAUGGGAUGUCUUCACCCAUUGAUACUCAAUGGGAAGAGCCAUAAAUACUUACCACUCCAAACUUAUAAAAAAUAUGGUGUAGAUGCUCAUAAAGUUGUAUUUCUAUUCAUUCCCUGUUUCCUUCACAAACAGCCAAUGAGCAGAAACCAACAACUAUGCGCCUGGAUCAUAAGGAGGAAAAAAGGAGACAAUUAGUACUUGGGAUGGAUAGUUUCUUUAUUAAGUUAAACAUGGAGUUGAAAUGGUAGGGGUGCUUGGCAAUGGCAACAGGACAGCAAACAAUGAAGGUCCAACAUAGUAACCAGAGAAAACAAAAGGAAAACGAAUGUUUUAACUCCACAACAAUUUGGGUUAAGGCAAAAUUUAAAUGAAAACCAAAAUUUUAUUGUUGAAAGAAAGAAAAUUUGUGAAAUAAAAUUAAGUUGAGAAGUAGAUUAUCACGCAUCAGAACCACUCUGAACUGACAUGAUUUUCAAUUUUUUCAAAAUUUUCCAGACAUUACAACCUUGCUUAUUCCUAGGUUCAUGCAAUUAUAAACAGCCAAUAUGGUGCAAUGUCUAGUGUCUUUGUCAGCCCAUGUAAUUGAUCAUUUCCAGCACCAUUUAACGGAUUCAUAAGCAUAAAAUCCUUCAAGUUUCAAAGAGGAGCCCGAUUAAGAGGAAAGAAGAAUGAAAUGCAGCAUAAAGGAGCAGAAACCAAAAAAAAAAGAAACAAAUGGGGGAUAAAAUGUGUGAUAAAUACAUAUAUGGGAUAUUGAUAGUGUAACUAAAUGAAAUAGAUAUCAAAUCAAUCAUAUACACAUAUAAAUACAACAUAGAAAUAAGCAUGGCCAUGGUGAAAAAGGGCUGCAAUGUGGGUUGUAACCAGAGAAUGGAAUAUGGACAAGGAGCAUAAAAAAUGAUUUGGCAGGCCAAGAAAUGGCUAUUUUAAUAUGAUGAAAAAGAAAGAGAACAAAAGAAAUUCAUUAUGAACAUGACUUGAAGAGUACACCUACGCUCAAAUAAUGACCAAGUGAUCAACUUUAAAAUCACAUUCCUAACCUCAGCCCUACCCCUCAUGGAAAAAUGGAAAAAAAAAAAAUUCUUAAAAGGCCUUGAGAGGGGUAAACCUGCUGGGACUCAAACCUGGAACCACCCCACAUCCCCACCCCCAACCCAAGCUACUCGAGCCACACCUCAAGGGUGAUAAAGAUCUAACCUUCAGCAUUGAAUAAAAAAUAAUCUAAAUGUGCAAAAAAUAUCCAGCAUUUUCUCAUGCAUUUUAAUUGCUUACUAGACUAGAUAGAAUCUCCAGUCAUUGAUGAGAACAAAGAACUCAGUGUCUUUAUUAUUAUUAUUGAAUAAAAAAUAAUCUAAAUGUGCAAAAAUAUCCAUUAUUUUCUCAUGCAUUUUAAUUGCUUGCUAGACUAGAUAGAAUCUCCGGUCAUUGGUAAAAUUCAAUAAUUCCAAUUUCCACCAGUUGAUUUGUCAAGUCCCUAAUUAAAUAAUGAAAGAUACAAUACUUGAUGAGUUAUAUACUAAAAUACUUGUGCUUCCCAAUCUAAUUCUAACAAGAACCCUACAAAAUGCACACCUUAAUCCAACUCAACCAACACUCAAUCUUGCGAUUACCUCAUAGUCCACAAGGUACAUCGGAGAGACCUAACUUAUCUUGAUGUUACAAGAUUUCACAUGAACAUCUGAAUACUGGUUUCCAUAAUUCUUUGUUAUCAUACAUCUCCUGGGGCAUGGUAAAGAUGAAUAUAAAAACAAAAUGAAAUCAAUACAAGAAGUUGAUAGCCCCUCUAUGAUCAUAACUGGGGUCAGCACAAUCAGUAACAUAAGAUUCAUGGUGUAGUAUUGAAGUGUAUCAUAAACUCAACACAAGCAUAUGCAAUGUCAAUUAUCAUUAAGUCAACAAUGAUAUUAAACAUUGGUAUAAACAAAUGAAACAAUGACAACACAACAGGAAAAAACCUUAUACAACUAUUAAUCUAUCCUCUUUGGUAGUCUUUUAUCAUCUUCCACAAAUUUCCCAUUUUCCUCCAUAUGCUGCUCAGAAUCCGACCCCAUUUUUUUUGUAUCUUUGUCAACAUUAAAGGAAAUAAAUGCAUGCAACUUUUAAAGAUUUGAGGCCAUGUGAAAAACUUGUCAUUUGAUGUCAAGUUUUUUUUUAUAUGAAAAGGUUUUCCAAAAUGAGAAUUGCAGAACUAUCAAUCUAUCUUCAUCUAGGUUUGGAGCUUCUCAAGUCUUUUAUCAAUUAUCAUCCUCCAUAAAAUUCCAGUUUUCUUCUGUACAUUGCUCAACCUCCAACAUAAUUUUUAAUUUUUUUUCUAAUUAAGAUUAAAUACAUGCAUAUUUUGAAGAUUAAGCCAUGUGGAGAAUUGUCAAUCAAUCGUAAGUUUUUCCUAUAUCAAAUGCAUUUUUUAAAAUUUUCGGCCUUGUUGGAAAAAAGACCUAAUGAGAUGGGUUUGUAUCACAAAACACUAAGGAUUGACUCAAAAGUCCCAAUGAAAUUAUAGCUACUGUAAAAACCAUGUAACCGCUUCCAAACUUAAACCCAUAUUACAAGAGGAUAGUAGAAGAGGCCUCUCUUCCGACUGACAUAAUAACCAUGAGAAGUAUUAGCCAACAAAUCUUAAAUUGAGCAAAUUCAACAAACCAGUUGAUACCUUAAAUGCCCCAGUAUCCAAACCAAUAAUGUCUAAGGUUUUCCCAAAAGGUAUUUUGAUCUGCUUUAGGAAGUAACCUGUUCCCCGUCCUCUUGAAACUCUGGUACUGUACCUACAAGAAUUACAAUUCAGGAUUACCACACAAAGAGACUAAACCAAAAAGACUGUUACAUUAAAAACUACAUCGGAGUCCAAGUUUUGUAACAAUGAAAUUUCAAAAGAUGAGCUACAAAAAUGACACAACUGAUUGCAAAGCGGAUGGCAUACCAGGGAACUUUCAGUGUUGAAAAACGCCAAGUACCCUGUAAAAGAAGAUGUCAUCUUCUAAGAUUGUUCCUAACAGAUGAAACCAAUGAAAUCUAAUUAAACUCAGCACUAAUUUAUUUUCCAAUCACACACCUAUAAAACAAAACAAAAUAAAACUACAGAAAUAAAUAUGAACCACUAUUCCAUUACUUCAACCAAAGCAUGGUUUCUAUUAUUUCAGUUAAAUUCACAAAAAGUUAGGAGAGAAUCAUUUCUACAACUUACCCAGAGUGAAGCAACGCAUAACUUUGAUUAAAUCUGGCUAAACUACAACUAAAGUUUCCAUAUAAAUGGAGUGUAAGCCUAAAGGUGCCACAAGAGAGUUCAUAUAAAAAAUAGUAAAAGGGCUUCCCACAUUGAAUUUACUAGCCAUGGUCUUACAUUGUGUGAGUUGAUCGUCUUCCCCAAGUUCACUAAUGUUUAUCACAAACCUUGCCUUAUAAGUCUUUGCGGCCUUCUCCAUCUUCAUGGGAAAAAACAAUUCCAAUUAGAACAGGGAAGAUAAAAUAUAAACUCAAAAUGCAAUUAAUGUAGUAGACGAUAAUCAUUCAACUAAGAUCAGUAACAGAGGGGGGAAAUAACAAAGCCUAAAAACAGAGAAGGUGGAAGGCAGAAGUAAGUUGGAUGAAUUAGAACCAAGAAGACAAGACAAGAUCAAAACCAACAGAUGAGAAGGCUGACACAAACAAUUGAGAGAGAUCAAAAACUGAACCAUAUAAUAAAAAACUCACUCACAUGAUUAUUCUCUGGCCAAAAGAUAAAGGUUAUGUUAUUAUUUUUUUAUGUUUAGUUUCAAAGUAGAAAAUAAGCGAUAAAAUCAAAUAUAAUUAAAAUUAUUUAAAUUAUAUAUAUUUUUCAAUUAUUUAGUCUAUACAUAGAACAGAAAAAAUAAAUAAAAUGAAUUUGAAAUAAUAUAAAAAAUAAUUUAUUAAAUUUAAUUUAUUUUUAAAUUUUCUUUAUCGCUUUUUCUUUCUUCCUAUUUUUCUUUUCCAUUUUUUUCCCACAUUUUCUCUUAAAUUUUCCACUAAGCAAACAAAGCCAAAGAUCCUCAAGUUGCAUAUACAAUUAAAAACGGAAAAAGAAAGAUCUUCUACUGUUCAACAACUGUCAUAUUAAAAAAAAUAAUAAAAAUAAAAAUUCGAUCCCAGUAAAACCUAACACAAAAUUCUUUCCUCAAAGUUAAAUCAUUCACAUAGAAAUUAACUGAGAAAGAAAUAAUAAACUGUUUGGUUGCUGAGAAAAUGGAGGCAUAGAAAAGGAAAUCAAAAUUUUGAAACUCUAUUAUUUCCAUUAUUCGAAGGCCCGGAAGAAAGAGGGAAAAAACUUCCACUCUUACCUUAAUUUAGGUUGUUUUGUCAAUUUCGAGGGAGGAAAAAACAGGAAAUUAAUUUCAAGCGAUUUCACUUUCAGCAUUCUCAGUAACCAAACGGAGCGUCUGAUAAAACUAUCAUAUCCACCAACAGAGCCAAAACCAAAUAUACCCACCAUCAACAUCUUAAAACAAAAUCCAUAAAGAACGAGAAAAACCCAUGCUUUUCUUCAAUGAACAAAAGGAAUCAAUAGAGAGGAUGAGAAAUAGACCUGUUUGAGAAGAUGGGUCUGCUGAUUAAGAGGUCUAAAUCCUCCUCUAACACUGAUAAAGUAAAGGUCAAGAGGCCUGCUACUGCCACUGCUGCUCUGGGACAUGGGCUUCUCCCAAGGCCGACCCAAGUUGAAUGCACAAGCAGAGAGACAACUGUGUUAUAACAGUGCGAACCCAUGAAGGUUUCCCCAUUGUUAACACAGGUCUCACAGCCUCAGCUCUUCAACUGGUAAUUGAUUUCACUCAUAGAUCUGAAGAUAUAUGAGGAAUGUAACCGUCGACACCCGUAUCUCUAAUUUCCUCAGUGUUAUCAAUUGCUUGAUUAAGAUAUUCGCUAAUGAAGCUCCACUUGG
rnacentral:lncRNA from 1 species